rnacentral:lncRNA from 1 species
CACCGAAAAAACAAAUUCAUGGAAUCCAGGUCCCACAACAAGUUAUAAGUUUUACUCUUUAUGUGACCAUAUUAUAUAAAGUAGUAUAAGAGACAAAAGACCGUUGUCAUAGAAUAUGGCAUCUAUAUAAUAUGGUCGUUUUCUAUGCUAGAUACACUAUAGGAGUACCUAAUAUCUAUGGACCCCUUCUUGUAAUUUCCAUCGUCACCGUAAUCACUCUACCUUGGACUUUUGCCAAAACAUAGCAUACACCUUGGACUUUUGCCAAAACAUAGCAAUAGCAUACACCAUCACGCUAAGCCAUGGCCAUCAAUAAUUAAUCUUAAGCUACCAAGGCCUAAACCACCACAUACUUUAUGCCAAAAAAAAGCAAUGAUACCAUCUAUAUCACUUUAAUUCAUUCCAUAUCUAUCCUUAAAUCCUAACAAAUUCCAGAUGAAUUAUGUUAAAAUUACACAAAUUUAUAAUAAAAUCUUGUAAAUUUGAAAGAAAAAAAAAUCAUAAUAAUCUAGUGUUAGUUCAAAGAUGCAACAUUACUAACAGAACAAGAUAAAAUAUUGAAUCAUGAAAUGCUUAUAUAAAGGAAUAAAUAGAAUAUCCUUGGAUUGAUACCAUUCCUUCUUCAUGAAUUUGAUACCAUUCCUUUAACCAUCACCUAUAUAUUCUCUUGCAAGCUGGACACACCCUUUAAAGAGUAACUUUAUUGACCCAUAUACAGUACCAUUAACUAUCUUUAGUGUUUCUUGUUGCCUACAAUUUGGAAACCUAUAUUCCAAUAGAGAUGACAAACAUAGAGACCUUUUAAACCAUAUAUGGAGGAAGAAAAUGACAUGUUAUGACUUGUGAGUAAUGAGGUCUCUAUAUAGCUUCUUCAAAAAAACAACACUACUUAUAAAAGAAACAGUGAAGUUUCUAAAAUGAAUGUGGACAUUUCUUCAGUUUUGUUACAUAACAUAUGAAACCAAUAUUUAAGGCAUCAGAAUAUAAAGGGAAUCUGAUCCACACACAUAAACCAUACAAACAUGAUUCUUUUAAGACUGAACAGUUCAAUCACAUCAAAUAGCUAUAUAGAACAGAUUAAAGUUUAUCACCUUAAAUUUAUACCAUAAACCAUACUUUUUUAUAACUAGACUAUGAACACUACUUAUCAGUACAUUAAAAUCGACCCUUUUGAUUUUAAUAACAACAAGAUGAACAAUUAACACCAUAAUGAUAAUUUUCAUAACCAUGAUAUACCAGAGAUAUUGACCGUUGAUUAGUAUUGACUAAUCUCUAUGUCAAAGAAUCUAUUAGACACAGACGAGAUUUUCCUCUCGCAACCAUGUUAUUCUCCAUAUGCAAAAAAGUCAGGGAUCAGAUCCCUAACUACUUGCUUAUGGAGGAAACAAGCAAGAACAUCGUUAUCAUUAAUAAUUAACACAAAGGUAAAAAUUAAAGGCCAAAGAGAAACAUUACUAUUUGGGGGUAAAUAAGUUGAUUAAUCAGAAAGAAAAAAAACACAACCAUUAAGGAAUAACAACCUGUCCCAGAAAGUACAAUUUAAUCUCCCAAAGACAUUGUUUAAAAUGGAUAAACAUAAAAAAUGUACCACACAGUAAGAAAAACAUACAGAAAAGGGAAAUAACAAGCAAUGGUUAAAUAUUUGAUGAAAUCGCAAAAAUAUUUAUCAAUGAUGCAUUCAGUUUUUCAUGUUUAUAUUUUCAACACAUACUCACGCACACACCCCGUCCGGGCCCGUCCGGGGAGUGUGGUGACGGGGAUAAAUCCCGGCUCCUCACAGUCAAAUCACGUUGUUAAAAGGAAACAAUGAAUUCAGUUCAAUAUAUACAAAUAAUAUUAGAUUAACAAUAUUCUUCUUCAUAACAACAAAAUUAGGAUAACUAAUCAGAAAAUCAGCAAUUAAAACACCAAUACAUAAAAUCAUGAAUAUGCAGAGAGGGGAAAGUGAGCGCUGGAUGCAGAGGUUUAUCGACCGAUUCUUGUUUUGUGAAAUAAUUACACAAACAAAUUCAGGAACAGAUCGAUGAACCGCUGCCUCCAGUGACUUCACCUCAUCUCUAUUCUACACUAUCAAAACAAAUCAAUUAAUUAAUUAACUUUUAAAAAAAAAUAACAAACAAAUAAUUCACAAACACAGCCACGUAAUUUUCAUUUUCCGAUUACAGUUACGAGAUCGGUGACGGGAAAAUCAUAGAUAAUAACAGAAAAAGCGAAUUCAUGAAACCGAAAACGUAGAUCUGAAACAUAGACAUAUAAAUCGGAAAAUAUGAAAUGAAUAACUUUAACCUAAAGAAAAUAAAUCGAAGCGAUGAAGAAAAUAGAGUGUUGUGUGUGUGGGGGGAAAAGGGAAUAUAUAUAUAUAUAUAUAUAUAUAUAUAUAUAUAUAUAUAUAUAUGAGAGUAUUUUGGUGUGAAGCAGCCAGGAAUCUAUGGAGUGACCAUUGCAGAAAGUGUGAAACUGUGAAUCGGUUUCUCUCUCUGUGUGUGUAUGGUGAGUGUCUGAUGAGGAGUUACAGUGACAUUUUAAAGGCCAAUCAUUUUACGGUUUCUUUGUUUGUUCUUAUAGUAGUAAUGGAAUUACUAUUUCACCCUUACUUUCCAAACUUCAUCAUGGAUAUUGACAAACCUUACAUUAAAUAUUAGAUAAAUAAAUAUAUUGUAAAAAAAUUAAAGAUACUCUCUUCGUCUCAUAUUAUAAGUAAAAAAAAAAAAUUCACACUUAUUAGGAAAAGUAGAAUAUGAUAAUUCGAAGUAUGAUUUUUUGUGUUUUUCUUGAAAUAAGUUUCAUAGAAAGAUGUAAGGGCCUGUUUGGUGCGCAUGAUAGCAUAGUGACAGGAUAUGAUAUAAAACAGGAUAAGGAUAUGAUAUGAUAACAGCAGCCAGCAGGAUAACAGUUAUACUCAGUUAUCAUAUCCUAUGUUUGGUGCACACAGGAUAACAAACAUGAUAACUAUUAUAUUUUGUUUUUAAUACAUACUUGCUCAUAAUAAUAUGAUAAGAUAUAUAACAUAUUUAAUUGACAAAAUUACUCUUGUAAAACAAUUGUUAUUUUUUUAAAAAAUUAUUUUGUAAUACUUUGAAUUUUAUAAAUAAAAAAUAUAAAUAAGUAAUCAAAUAACUUUAUAUAAUUUAAAAUAAAAAUCAUGAGAAAAUAAUCAAGUUUAAUUUUUUAUANNNNNNNNNNNNNCCUAUUUGUCAAUUUUUUAAUAAUCAUUUUACUUUAAAAUAUUGUAAUUUUAGUAAAAUUUUGAUUUUUUAGAAUAUAUAAAUUACAAAAUUACCCCUGUGAGAAAAUCACAUAUAUAUUUAAAAUUAAUUAUUUUAUUAUUUAUAUUUUAUUAAUUUUAUUUUAUGUAUUUUAAAAUAUAUUUUAUAAAAUAAAUCAGUAAUUUUUUUUCUUCUUAUCUUAUCCUGCCGUUAACCCAGCUCAAAUUCAGGAUAAAAAUUUUAACUAGAGAGACAGGAUAGGAUAAGCUUAAGGAUUAACUUAUCAUAUCCUGCUGUAUCACCAAACACUGGAUUGCGGCAGGAUAUGAUACAGUUAUCUUAUCUUGUCUCUUAUCCUGUGCACCAAACGGGCCCUAAAAAUAAUUUUAUUGGUUAUUGAUUAUGGCCUUAUGGGAAAUAGAAGAAAGAGAGUAAAUUAAAUGUAAUUUGCAUUAAAUUUUAUGAGAAUAAGUAAAAGUAAAUCUUAAAAAUGAUAAAAGUGAGUUACUUUUGCUUAUAAUUUGGGACAAGAAAAGUUAUUUUUUUGGCUUAUAAAACGGGAAGGGGGAGUACAAAUUAUUUCUUUUGGGUAUAACCUUUGACAAAAAAAAAAGGCAAAACCCAAAAAAAACUACAAGACUACUUUAAUAUUUUUAGGCAUGCAAGUCACAGAUACAUCAUCAAAAAGGAGUUACGGAGUUCUCUUAGACGAAUAUCCAAGUUUCUUACGUCAAACGAACUUUGGCUGAAGUUAGCCAACCAAUCUACGCAUUUGUUUUCCUUGAACCAUAUGUGUUUAAAAGUAAUGUGCCACUAUAGGAUAGUGAAAUCACGGAUAUGCGAGACCAAGAUAGGGGUGUUUCCAUUCAACUUGCAACACUCUGUUACCAUAUAUCAAUCAGAAUCUUAGAAUCACUCUCUACUAUAAGAUGCGUUAAACCUUGCCUUCUAGCCAUUUACAUUCCUGCGUACAUUCCCUGUAAUUCUGCACGGAGGGAAUCACAAGCUCAAAUUUUUUGAGUAUAUCCUUUCAACGAGCGACCAUUCGAGUCCCAGAAAAGACCCCUACAUCCAGCCAAGCCCAUUGACUCCUUGUAUGCUCCAUCACAGCUGAGUUUUAUACCUUUCAAUUGGAAGAGUGUGUCCAUAUCGAUCAAUCUCUGCAACCAUCUCUGCAGCUGUCUUUUUUCAAAUACAUAUAUAAGAGAUUUUCUCUCAAAAAAAGUUAAAUAUAGUUUUAGUCCUUUAAAAAUAUCCUUUAAUCAAAUUUUAUUUCGUUUGAACUUUAAUCCUCUAAAUUUUAGUCUCUGCUGUUUUUAAAAGUUCAGGUAUCACGUUCUAAACGACUUUUAAAAAUAUCAAGAGAAAAAUGUCUCUCAUAAGUUCAUAUCAAGAAAUGGGCCUCACAAUAAGGAUAAAGGCCUCCGAAAAAGAAAAUUAGUAUUUUUCAUGGUAUAAAAUAAUGUGAGACUUUGUAUUUUAUGAGUAACGAGAAAGUAUUUGUGAGAUUUUUUUUUUAAAAGUACCUUUUGUAUUCUUUUUUUUUUUUUUUACAUUUUUCCACUCUUUAUUUGAAUAAGCAAAAAAACUUCACUUUAAAAUUCGCGUUAAGCUCUUUUAAUGUUGGACCAACCCUGUAGAUUGAAUGUCAUGUUCUAAUCUUACAUAUUAACGGGACUCUUAAAAUUUGGACCGUCAAAAUUUUAGAUGUCAUAUGUAAAAAUUUAGGCACCUUUAAAAAUUUGUAUAUAUGAGAAUUCAAAUUCUUAAUUAAAUACUUUGGAGUUCCUCAAAAUUUUGAAUUUAUUAAUACAAUUAACAUCAGAAUUUCAUAUAUUCGAUUGAAAUUUGGACCCUAAACAUUUUUAUUUAAUGCUUUUGGUAAUUACUAUUCUCCCGCAGCAUUGCUAGCUCUGAAUCUUCCAAAAAAUAUCUCUUAAUUUUCUUGGAAGAAUUUGAGCUCAAAAUUGAGACCAUGUGCAAUACUACUUCUGUGAUGAUAUAUUGACAGCAACAGCAAGUGUAGCGAUAGCUUAACCAUGUGAAGUCACCUAUAGCUAGCUUCUUAGAAAUGAACUGUUCUUUACGACUAGAGUUCCUAAUCAAUCACAGUGUGCUUAAUGUCAUUUUGGAGUCUAGUGUACAAGUUAAAGAAUGGAUGUUGUCCUAUAUACACCUUUAACUUGUGCUAAGAAUUAAAGAAAUGGCGGAUUCAAAUGAUGUCGAGUCAAGAGCAUCGCGAUUUCUAUCUACUAAUUGAUUCUAAAUAAUAGCGGAUGUAAGAAUCCACGAUUCAAUCAAUCCUAUACCUAUAGAUAAUAUAACUAUACUUUCUACUCGACAAUUUAUUUCUAAAGAAAUUUUGUCGAUAUUGUAUCAAAAAUUAAGGGAUAGGUGAGUUAUUUUAAGCAUAUGUGCUAAGAAGUGCCAAUUUAGGUAUGAAUUGUUUAGCAAAGUAAGGAUUAUUUAUCACUAGGAGUGUGUUUGGUUUGAUAAAAAAUGUGUCCAAAAUAAAUCAUUAGGUUUGCUUGGUUUGCUCUAGUGGUGAGGGAUUCAUGUAUUAUACUAGAGAUCAUGGGUUCGAUCAUCAACUUCAUUAAAAAAAAAAAAGGUGUGUGCAAAAUAUAAAAUAAAAAUCGAUUGGCAAAGUUGUGCACAAUGAGAUGCUUUUUAAUCUCAUGAUUGGGCACACUAUGCACAAAAGAUCAUAGUGUUAAAUAAUAACAAUAAUUUGGUGUAUCUGAACUAGCUGGUUUUGCAAAUUAGAAAAACAUUAAUUUACAUAUAUCUUUUUACAUGCAUGAAUCAUGAUGUACUUUCUUACAAUAAUGAAACAAGUCCAUAAUGAGUAGUACUUUCUAACAAUAAGCAAGCGAUUAUGAAGACAAAGCCAACUCAACUUAGCUGUAUAAGACUGUAUAUAGACUGCGGCCGGUAGAGAGGGAGCAUCACAUGGAUGAGCCUGGCUGACUCAUGAAGUUCCAUGAGUUGUUACUUGUCACGAUAUGAAAUAGUGUGGAGGAAUUGUUCUUUUACUCGAGGUGUGUGGAACGAUAUCUUUGAAUGGUUAGGAAUAGUUUUAAUUACCAACAGCGUUGGAAGGUUGUAAUCACUUUUUAUCGUUUGGUAAUGCGGUCACACCAAAAAAAGACAAACGUGUUGGACACUUGAUUUGGUUGGCAAACACUUGGUGCAUUUGGAAGCUUAGGAACAAUAUUAUUUUCAAUGGUGCUUUGCCGGAAGCUUCCUCUUUGGUAGAAGAUAUUUUAGCUUUUUCUUAGGUUUGGUUUAGCCGUCGUUCAGGACGUAAAUCUUUUUAUUCUUUCUCGUAAUGAUCCUAUUUGGUUGUUUACAAAAAUUAUAAUAACAUGCUUUGUUUUGUAUAAGGGGAUUGAGUACCUCUUGUACUCCUUAUAUUGAAGUUUGCUUAUAAAAAAAAAUGUGGAAGAAUUUAAAAAGGAAAAUAGAAAUAGAAGUAGCUUUUACAUCUAAAACAUUAAAAGAAAAAAUAGAAAUUAUUUAUAAGCAAUUUUCAAAACCGGCCCAACAUAAUUAGAACUUAAAAGUAAUUUUUAUUGUGAGGCUUUAUAAAAAAAUUAAAUCAUAUAUAAUUUCAACUAAAGAAAUACUUAAAUUUUUUUUUGGGUACAAAGAAAUACUUUAAAUUUAACCAGUGUAUUAUAUAUUUAUAAUCAAAUUAAAUUCUUUUUUUUUCUUACGCAAAAAUAAAUCAUAUAUCUUUUAACAUGCAUGAAAAAAAAAAUAUAUCCUUCUCAUCUAGUUACUCGUACUUCAACACCAAAUAAUAAUAAAAUAAAAUAGUUGACUGGAGUAAAUUUUGCAAAAUUAUAAACAUAUUAUUACGAAUCCAAUACUAUGAAAGUGGCAGCAUAAGAAAUUAAAAUUUCAUUAGGCUUAGGAUGGAUAGUCAAGAUCUAAAUUAUUUAUUCAUUUCGAAAUUACGACCAAGUUUAAUUAAAUCACAUCAAAUUUUUAAGUAAGUUGAAGCAAAUAUUUUUAAAAAUCUAUUUAAGUUAGUUCAUAUUAGCACUUGUCGUUUAAUUAUACUAACAUGAUCAUCUCUGACAUUACAACUAUAGUAUUGGGGCACUGAUUAAGUAUGUUAAAAUAGAAAUUUUGUCUUGAAAUACGUACAUUCAAUGUCUCAAAAGUACAAAAAAUUAUCUUUUUAAUAUAAAUUUUAUUUUUUAUUUCUUUUUUAGGUAUGUUUAACAAGUGCCCGGAGGCACUGUUUAGCAUGACAAAAAAAAAAAAGAAAAACUAUAGUAGAUUGUAGACGAUUUUCAAAUAAUGGUGGACAGUGGACUACUUGCUGUAAACAUUGUACAAUACUCUUGAUCCGUACAUUAUUUCAAACUAGGCAUCUAUUCCAUGCUAUAAUAAUGCAACUUAUACAAUAACAAUAGGAAAAUGCUAAACAGUGCCCCCGGGGCACUAGUUAAGGAUGCAAAAAUAGUAAUUUGGCAUUGGAGUUUGUGCAGUCAACUUCUCGAAAGGUUAAAAAGUGUUAUUUACUUUUCAAAACUUUCUAAUUUUGGUUUCCUUAACCAGUGCCCGGGAGCACCGGUUAGCAUGACCCAUAACAAUAUCCAACCUUAAUCACUACCCUUAUAAAAUUCUAAUCAUUGUUCACCAAUUACCAUGAUUAAAUUAAUGCCUAAAAUCCAAGACUAACAUUGCUCGUGAGUUUCCCAGAAAGCGCAAAUAUAAUAAUCUCAUAUAAGCCACCGACGCGCUUUUAUAUGUUCAAAAGGCACAUUUCAUUCAUCAUAUUGAUAUAUACCAAAAUAAGCCACACCACUCUUCCUAACUUUUCAUUUCAUUUUCCACUAUAUUGAAUAUGUCAAAGGUUAAAGUUGAUCAACUUAAUCAAUUAAGAGAAAUUUUCAAAAGAUUCGACAUGGAUUCAGAUGGAAGCCUAACAAUGUUAGAGCUAGCGGCACUUAUUCGUUCGUUAGGCUUAAAGCUUUCAGGGGACGAAGUUCAAAUCCUGGUAUCCAAAAUGGACUCAAACGGAAACGGUUCUAUUGAGUUCGAUGAAUUGGUUGGAGCUAUAAUGCCAAACAUGAAUGCAGAGGUAUUGGUUAAUCAAGAACAACUUAUAGGUGUGUUCAAGUGCUUUGAUCGCGAUGGGAAUGGUUUCAUUUCGGCUGCUGAAUUGGCUGGAGCAAUGGCUAAAAUGGGUCAGCCACUUACUUAUAAAGAGCUUAUUGAGAUGAUUAAAGAAGCUGAUAUGGAUGGUGAUGGUGUUAUUAGUUUUAGUGAGUUUGCUACUAUUAUGGCUCGUUCUGCUUCUGAUUUAUUAGGAGGGUUUGAUUAUAGAAACAAAACACAUUCAUUUCACUUGUAGAUUCUUUAAAAAAAUAUAUGUUUUGUUAAUUGGAUGUGUAUUGUGUAGGUUGUUGUAUUGUUAUACAAUUAUUUUGAUGAAAUGGAAUUAAAUAUGGAUAUUUGGUUAUUCAUGUAAUGUUACCGUUGGGUCAUGAGGGGUAUGAGGAUCACCAUAUUUGAUUUUGAUCAACCAUAUAAGUGAGUUUGACAUUACAUUUUAACUCAAAAUCUUAAGACAUUAGAUCUUGGGUAUGUUCCUCCUUAAACAGAAGCUUAAAGCUUUUUAAUCCACUUGCAUCGUCGUUGGAGAUUUAUGAAGGGAACACGCUGUCUGAACACCUUGGUCAAGAAAACUUUCGACAUAAGGAGUCGGUUCAAUCAUCGGUUAUGAGGAUCAUCACAUUGAGUUUUAAUCAACCACGUUAGUGAAUUUGACACCACAUCUUAACUUCAAACAUUAAACACCAUUGUGCAGGAAACAAAAAAAUUUCAGCAACUGAGGCUAUCUAUUACUUCUUGUGACCAAUAUCAUUCAGACCACAAAUCCAUCCUCAGCAGAAACAUCAUUGUCCACAUGGGGAACCUGACAAAUAAAAAUUGCAAUAAUCAAUAUAUCAAAAUAUUACUUACAGUACUGGAAAACUAUAAUGAAAAGAAAUUAAAAGAUAACAUAUCUUCGAGCUUUCAUUAUAGUUUUCCAGACAAAUUGCAUACAUCACAGUUGUGAGAAAAAGGCACGAUAUCUUCGAGCUUUUCAGCAGUUAAAAUGUCAAUUCCAACAAAGUGACACUUAGCAUGACCGUGUGUAUUAAUCAAAUAUUCAUAAAUAAGUAGAUUUGCAUCAAUAAAACUAUCAAAUUAAUUAACAAUUUAGUGGUAUAAGUUUUAGCUUAUAGCAAAUAUUGAAAUAACUUAUUAUAACUUAUAAAUUCGUAUAACCAAAAAUUCUAUUUAAUCAGAUCAUAUUGUAAGCUUAUAACGUAUAUAUGACUAAAGUAGUGUUUCGUUAUUUUUUCUUUUUGUUUUACUUAGUAGGAAAAAAUUUAAAUAUUUAUUAUAUAAGUAUAUUGUCACGCCAAUUUAUCAUUUAGUUCAAUAUCAAGUAAAACAAAAUCAUCAACAAUUAAAUUUAUACAACAUUUAUGUACCAAAAAAAUAAUUUAUACAACAUUUUAAAUUUAAAUCGAUAGUUUAUCUGUCAUCUAGUAUAUCAGCUAAGUAGUCCGCUAUUUUUUAGUCUUCUUUUUUGUUAGAAUAGGUAGUCUUCUAUUUCCUAUAAAUUCAUCUGAUGUAGUUAAUUAUUUGUUAACCGCUACUUUUUAAGCCUUAACAAAAACUUAAUUAAAAGUAAUUAAUAUAAAAAAUGGAUCAGAAGGUUGUUAAGAACAUUGCAGGGACGUCCCUUGAUGAGGACGUAACCGUUUUUGCAUAUGGUACCCACUUGUUGAGGGUAAGUUUUGAAGGCUCCGGCAUCGGCCAUGGACUCGAAGCGUUGAGCUACUUCUGCCAUUGUUUUGAUUCAAGAAAGAGUGGUGGUGCUACUAAAGGAUAGAAUGGAUAGGUUUUUAUGCUUGCAGCUUCAACCCAAUUAACCAAUUAAUUUGUUUUUUAAAUGGAUUAACCAAUUAAUUAUUUAUUUUUCCCUCCAUUAGAGGACAUGCAUGGAAUUUAGAUUCCUUUAGUAUGGGGUGAUUCCACAUUCAGUUAAUCGAUGACAUUCAGUUUAAAAUAAUUCGGUGGUUGGGACUCAAACACAUUUAAGUGUGAAAAUGCGAAAAAUCUUAAAUUCGAUUACUGACUCCUAUAUUUAUCUUUGCAACUACCAACUAAGUCAUACAAGACAACUCAUUGUAGAUUUUAAACUUUGUUUUUCAAUUUUUGAGAAAAAAAAAAUUUGCAAUUUAGAUCAUUCAGUCUAGAUCUAAUGGUCUAAAAUGUGCGUAACUACGCAAAUUCGGGAAUAUUAAAAUGCAUUUGAAAUCCAAAUUAAUUUCUCCCAUGUGAAAAACCAACCACAUCUAAUAUCUUACUAUUUAGUGCCCAAUAUUUUACUCCCAUCAGCCUGCAUUAUUUCUUGUCGUUUAUUUCUUCAAAAAAUUAUUUCUUGUCUUAUGGACCAACUUUUUAUUUAAGUACACUAAACACCAUCAUCAAUUUUCUUAUUUUAAGUAAGCACACUAAAUGAUUCCAUGUCUUUUUCUUUCUAUAUUCACUCAUCAUCAUCCACUACCACUUCAACUUCUUUUUUUAACCACUAAUCAUGUGACUCAUUUCCUCUAAUUAUGCCUCAAAUACCUCAUGCACCAAAUAUUUACAAAUUUUCUUAAUUUGAAAUUUUGCGUCACAACUUUGAUACUAUGAUAAUUUACUCUUGUUUUGGCCUUACUAGCUCUUAUUCACGUACGCAAUUAUAGAAAUUAAUCUCUAAAGUCGGUUAGACUUCACGGGGGUAAAACUCUUUCUAAUGAGUUUUGAGGUUGCUGCGUUUUUAAGACUGAAUUUGAAUUCUAGAUCACUUGUUAAGUCUAUGUUUGGAAUCACGAUGUGUAUGUCAGAAUUACGGUGAUCCAUCAUAAUUUUUCAAAAGCUACACUUAGUAGUUUCUUCAAAAUUGUGUAGGAUCACCGUGAUACCAAACAUACACCGUUUGAAAGAGAACCAACCCAUUUUAGCUUGAAUUCUUUUAAGAACAUUGAUAGAAAGUUGGAAUGAAAAAGAGCUUACCUAAGGCCACUAAAACUUAUAAACUUAUACUGUGGAAAAAUGAAUCAAAAUGUAUCAUAAUAUCAAAAUUUUAUUAUAAAUUUUUGAACAAAAUGCAAGAGACAGAUUGCCUCAAUUUGUUUCUUUAAAAAGAAUAAUAUUCCUCAUGCAGCAUAAGGAAACACUGCCAAUUUACCUCACAUACAUAUGUACAAAUGAAAGAACAUUCUUAACCUAUGAAAAGAAUUUACAGAAAGAAAAAAAACAAAACAAAAUCAUAUUUGGUUAUUGGUUCACUGUAGACUUCCCAUCAAUAGGUACUAAUGAUAUUUCCGAACGUCUAGACGCUUCAAAACGUCUAGAAGCUUCCAAACGAGCAGUGAAUCCAACCGUUGUAUGUCGAAUAGAUCUCUGUCGCACCAUAUCACAAAAUUCCGGAUCAUUAACUUGUCCAUCCUUUCUUAUCCAUUGUAUCAUUUGAUGAUACACCGGGAAGAACCGCAGUUGAAUAGUAGAGUACGCGAAAUAUGGAAGCAAUGCGGCAAUAAGAACGAGCAAAGUAACAAUCCAAUAAGAUAGUGACGGCGCACAUGCUUCAAUGAAGACCUUAUAAGCAGUUGUUGAUAUAGAAGGAUCUAUAGCUCCAUAUGCCAAGAGGAAAAUGUACCAUACUCCGAUGCUUCCCCAUAUGAAUAUAUGUUGUAUGUAUGUAAAGUAAGUGAUCGAUAAUGCCAUUUGGCAAUUUACCACCCACACAACACAUGUGUACAACGUGGCGCCGAGAACUUCUAAGUCAACAACUUCGCCACCUUUGCGAAACGAUUGAUGCUCAAGCGCGCGAAUACAGAAGAAAAAUAUAAUGGUUGAACUUGUAACUCCGUUUAAUGCCCAACCAAUUAUUCUUUUCCAGCUGAAUAGUAAGUUUUGUACACCUUCUUGGUAUAGUAAUGGAAACUGAAACACAAAUGAAACGUUUCGUGAGAAAAGAACGACAAUUUAGUCCUUUUAAACAGGACCUAAAUUUCAAACCGAUUUUCAUAGGGAAGCUAAUGAGUUUCUAAGGCCUUACCUUGAGACAUAAUUUGGAGGAGACAUCUUGGUCGAAAACUCCCAAAGCAAUUACAGGAAGUGAAGUGAAGAAUACAUUAUAAAAUGACAUGAACCAGUCAUUGUAUGCAGGUUGGCCGGAGAAUGAGGUAAACAUCUCAUAGAAGAACAAAGUGAAGCCGAAGGUGAUAUUCUUGUAAAAGAAGUAACAUAUCUGCGAAACAAAAAGUGAAGUUUGUCAAAAACAAAUAAUAAGCCAAAGAUCAAAUGGUGAACACAAGUGAAGACAUGACAAGAUUAUUACCAUAGAUGAGAUUCUUCUGUAACACCAAUGUCCAUGCACAAGAAGUAAGCGUUCGAGAUAUCGAAAUUGAGCAAUGGCAAUAUCACUUGACAUAACUGCCUGCAUUCCUUCGACACCACUGAUACCGAUUCCAAUAUCUGCUUCUUGGAGCAUACCAACAUCAUUUGCACCAUCUCCAAUAGCUAGAGUUGUACUACCAGGUCUCAUCUUAACCAAUCUAGUAACAAGUGCCUUUUGCUUUGGUGACGAACGACAGCAUAUAACAGAUGCGCAACCAAUUGCAAGUUCAAGAAACAAGUUCUUUACAUCGUCUUCUAGCGCAUAAGCAAGAGAUUUCCCAUCAAUGAUCAAAGCUAAUGCCUCAGAAUUGUCAUCUGAUCUUGAAAGUAACGUCUUUGCCUCCGUUAUUUGACGAACAACACUUGCCUUAAUUGCCUGAAAAAUCAUUAAGAUUCAAUCAAAAUCAAGUUAAUCGGAAGAAACACAUGUUAAAACUACCAACAACUAAUAAGGUUCUAAUGCUUACCGCUUCAGCAGCAGAUUUGUCCUCCAUUUUCUCGAGCGCUUUGUUUUCAGGAGUAUCUGAAUUAAUUAUAAUUUGCUUCAUUCCUUGUCUAAGCAAACUACAAGCAAAUCUGUGGCCACAGAAAAAUCAUCAAAUCAGUGACAUGUUAUUAUUUAAAAAUAUGAUAUCAAAAUUUAUAUAUAUAAUCUUUAAACUUACCCAAUAUUAAUCGCUGUCUCCAUUUUAUCACCGGUCAAUACCCAUAACUUAAUCCCAGCCUGUGCUAGUUUGUCAAUGCAUUCAGGAACCUAUACAACACAUAGAACUAUUAGCACAAAUUCAAAUUCAAAUUCUUACAAUAAAACAUCACAAUGCUAAUAUCAAGAUACAUAAGUAACUGAGUGAAAAGGUAAAAACCGGUAUUUAUAACUUACCCCGUCUUGUAGUUUAUCUUCAACUGCGGUAGCACCAAGAAGAAUCAAAUCCUUCUCAAUCUUUUGCAAUAUGUCUUCUACAAUCUGCUCUUGAUCUGCACUCACUAAGUUUUUAGCAUCUGUCAACUCUUUAUUAAACUGUUUGUACUCUUCCUCGUCAAGUUCACGGUAAGCAAGUAUCAAUGUCCUCAAACCAGAAUCGGCAUAUUCAUUAAUGUGGUACUUAGUCUGCUCUUCAUACUCCCUUCCAUUCUUUCCAAGUAGUUCAAACAUGACACUGAAAUCAAGAAGAAAAAAAACAAGUUAAUGUUUUGAACUUUCAAAACAAAUCGAACGGUAAUGAUCGUAUAGUAUAUUUAUGAAAACCAAGUGUUGCAUUAAGUUCAAGAUUACAAACCUGUCAGCUCCUUUGCUAAGUAGCAUUAGUUUUCCCUUGUGGUCUCUUACGAUUACGGACAUUCGCUUUCUUGCACUACUAAACUCUAAUACAUUUAAAAUAUUGUAGGACCUGAAAAAGUGAAAUCAAAUGAUAAUAUUAAUACAUAACUCAAGUUUCAUUUGCAUUAAACAUAUAUAUAACCGAAAAUUAAACCUUCACAAACAAAAAACCUUACCUUUCUGAUUUCAUGUUUGAAUUGAGGUCUAAUUCAUGAAGUGAAAUAGCUGCAUGUGUCCUUUCAUAAAAUUCAAAUCCAAAUUCUCUUGCCGCAACAACAAAAGCAGCCUCGUCUGGCGAUUCAGCUUCAUACGAAAUUUUACCAGUUGCUUCAUCAACUUCAGGUAUUGCGGUAUGGCAUACCGCCAAUACCCUUAGAAAGCUUUGUAUCACAUUGGCAUUAGGCUGUCUCACCCAAUUUCCAUUCAUGAUCCUUUCAUCACUGAAGUUAAAUCCUUUAAUGGUUGAUUUUGAUUCAGCAGCUUUUGCAACAUUUUGGUCAUUUUUCAACUUCCGACCAAAGUAUGAAUCUUUUCUCUUAGAUAAAGCUCUCUCAACUUCUGUAAAUCCUCUUCCGUAAGCAACUCCACCAAUAGAACACUUGAUAAAUUCCAUAGAAUUGCAAGUCAAUGUUCCAGUUUUAUCCGAAAGUAUGGUAUCAACUUGACCAAGUUCUUCAUUCAAAUUUGACGUACGAGCAUGCGCUGGCUUAUCAGUUUCCUCGUGAUACAUGUUCAAAUCGUUGUUGAUGAAAAUGCUUUGAAGAACCUUCACAACUUCGAUGGAAACAUACAACGAAAUCGGAAUGAAGUAACCAUACAACAUCAAUGCUGUCAAGAAAUGAUAAAUUGCUGCAAGUACUGCUUUAUGAGGAUCAUAGUAAACUGUAGUAUCUUUAGGAUUAAGGUACCAUCUCUUCAUUCUUCCAUUUUUAAUAUCCUUCUUUGUCCAAAUACCGAAGAAAAUCGAACCGAUAAAUGAAACCAAAAUCAAUACAAAGAACAAACAGUAUAUAACUUUGUCCAUUCUUUUCUCAAUCUUACUUCUCUUGGAUGGAGGAUCUGUUGAAUUCUGCAUAACCUUUGUAUCGUGACCGGUAAAGAUCACAACACCAUAGAUAAAAUCUGUGUUCUUCAACUUAGAGUCUCUUAGAAGAAGCUGCUGAGGUGCAAGUGGAUAUUGUUGAUCUUCUUGAUCUUCUUCAAGCUCUAAACUUCCUACAAACGCAUACAAAUUCGCGUUUGGAUCUUCGCAUCUUAUCACAGCCUUGAAAUUCUCAAAAUUCGAGUCUUCUUGAAAUUUUGAAGUCCCUUCUAGUGCUUGUUUUAGUUUCAGAUUUGUUUCUCCGUCGAGAUUCAUCGUAUCAACAUAGCAAAUUGCAUCAUCAUAGUUUGAUGAAAGUAAUAUGAGAUCAGCAGGAAAAUACUCAUCUUUUUCCACUUUCACGAUGUCUCCAACUUUCAAAUCCCUCCAUUUAGAAUAAUCAAAAACACCACCUCCACUAUGUACUUUCACUUUUCGAUUAUUCAUUUCUAUAUCCUGAUAAAAUCAUAAAACAAAAUCAUCAUUCAACUCAAUUUGCAUAAGUUAAGGCUUAAGAGAACUUUCAGCCUAUUCAGAUAAACAACUUAAUUAAGCGCUUAUAGCAUAAGUUCCUAUCAUAUAAGUGAUUAUGCAUAAACUAUUUCUAUAAUAAAAGAUAUACUAAAGUCAAUUUUUUCUCAUAAGUUAUCAUGAACAACUUAUAGAAAUAAGUUGAAAACACCUUAUGAAUAUAUCAUACGAUGUUUUCAUAAGUUCUGACAAACAGUCUCACAAGUACUUAUGUCAGUUGACCGUGUCAACCGGUCAAAUAAGUCGAUCCAAACAGUUAUAAAUCUGAAAUAGUCAAUCCAAACAGUUCUAAAUCUGACAAAAUGAAUAGAAAACAAACAAUACCUGUUUUUUUCUCUGAAAAUCUUCAAUAAACUCUUUAGCCAUAGUAGCAGAAACCACAACAAGAAGAGGAACAACAUUGCUAACAGCAGAAUAAGGAGCAACAGGGAAGAAAGACAAAACAGCAACAACUAAGAAGUAAAAAUUUGCAACUCUUCUAAAUUGUUCAAACAAAGAUUUAGGUAGAAAAGUAGCAAGUGUAUACUUAGUAGUUCUAACAUAAUUAUCACCAUAAUUAUAAAGACUAGACAUAGCACGUUCUGAAUCAUUACAAUAAACUUUUCUUGAAAAACCAGGUCCUCCUAUAAGUGAAUGUUCAUCUUGUUUCAUUGAUGCUUUACCACAUGAAAAUGCAUGAAUCUUACUGAAAUGAUGAUGUCUUCUUCUUCCUCCACCAGCCAUAUUUUCAAGAUUUAACUAAAUUUUCAAUGACCUUUUAAACCAAAUCUUAAUCUUGUGGACAAAAUUUGCCUCACAAUGAAAAGUUCUUAGAUUGAAGCAAACCAAUGAAAUGGAAAAGAAUAAAAAAAAAAUUAACUUUUGCUUUAUACAAACAACAAAAAGAAUUGUGUUUUGUUUUUCUGAGCUGUACAAGAAUGAUGUUGUAGACUUUUUAGAAAUGAAAAUGAAAAGAUGAAAGGUUUGAGCUUAUAAAUGAGAAUGGAAGAAAGAGCUUAAGACUUGUUUGGUGUUUGAUUGAGUUAGGGGGUUGAAGAAUGAGUUUGCCAUCUUUGUUUGACCAAAAUGGUGGCUAACAAUAAUGGACUUUUCAACUUGAAAAUGGAAAAUGGAACUUUCUCUCUCUUUUUCCUGUUCAUGACUUGGUUCCAUAAGCACCAUUAUUUCAUUAAACUAAUAUUUUUAGAAAAAUGCUUAUCGGUGUUCCGGAACAAUGGUUAAAAAAAUAAAAAUGAUGGUAUAAUAUUGAAAUUAUUCUAUACAAUGUCUUGAAAAUUUAUUUAAAAAAAUUCUAUAUAAAUUUUCUGCUUUUAUUUCUAUUUUUUUUUCUUUAACUAUUGCUACGGGAGCCAGAGCACUGUUUAGAAUACCUUGUUUUUUAUAUUUUCAUGGUAUCAUGAAUCAUGAUUGAUAAUUGAUGUAUUUUUUCAUUUUGUAUGAAUAUGCAAGUUGAAUUGAAUAUGAAAUGAGGGAAAUAUGAAGGAUUAUUUCUAUCAUGGGAUAUUUCAAUUCAUAAGAAAGUUGUCAAUUCAAUGUAUGUUUUUUUUUUUUUUGUUUACAAUUCAAUGUAUGUUUUGAUAAAUAACUUUAUUGGUUUAUUUAUUGUUAAAAAGAGAAUAUUAAAUCAUGAUUUAGUUCAAACAUUCAUUUGUUUAAUACUUUUUUUUUAAGUAUUUAUUUCAUAUUUGUUCUUACAAAAUUAAAUAAAUAAAUGGUUUCCUUUAUAUUUUAAUAAAUAAAAGAUAUUUAUUUUGUUUCCUCACUUUUUUUUUUGUUUUUGCACGUAUUAAGACGUUUUAAAUGAAAGAAAGAUAAUAAUAAUAAUAAUCUAUAUACUAUAUAUAAAGAGGAUACAUGAGUUUCGGUGUAGAUUUUUCAUAAUACCAAUAAUACCCUUAAUUUUUUUUUAAUAGCAACAAAAAUCUUUUAUUAACAAACUCACCAUAAUAUAAUAUAAAGUACAUCUUUACCAAAUUAAUCUUAUUAAGAAGUUGGUUGAUUCACAUUGUCAAAAUGGAGAAUAAUAUUAUUUUUUUGGUACAAUAAUAAUUAUUUUUUUACUUACGAAAAAUGAUAAUUUGAGGACACAAAUAAUAUUAUUAUAUUAAUUAGAUAAUACAAUUGAUUAUUAAAUUUUUUAAGUGUCAAUAUAGGUAAAAAUGUCACCAGUUUGCACUUCAAAUUUUGGCUUAGAAAAAACAAUUAAAUUUACAUUCUAAUUUAAAAGUGAAAAUCUUUUUAACAAUAUUUCUUACAACUAUGAUAGUACUAGUGGGAAAGAAGUAGAUAUUUUGCGGAAAAAAAUUAUUCCAAAUACGGUACCACUAGAAAUUAAAGGGUCUAUUUUAGUAAUUAAAGAUUUUUGUCAAAAAGAAAAAUAAUUAAAGUUUUUUAGAGAUAAGCUACUUUUUUUUAAGUUUUUCUUUGCUUUGUACUGAAAAAAAAAAGUUACGCUUGUUUUUAUUGAGCAGUCUGCUUCCUUGCUUGUCUCAAAAUUGUGAUAAUAAAAUAAAUAAAUAAACAAUGUUGAAUUGCCACGUGUGAGAUAAAAAUACGUCUACAAUGUUUCAUUUUUCCAGGCUUCUAGAAAGCAAGAUAUGAUUGAUAAUUCAUGAUUGAAAAUUGAAAUUGAUUUAAAGCAACUAAAAUUGCCACGUGGUAUUUUUUUUAUACACCAAAAGCAACUAAAAUUUAUUUAAGGAGUCUAGUUCUGCAACAAAAAAUUUCUUAUAUGCAUUAGUUAAAGGAAAUAGUUAAAGGUCAAGUAUUUGAAAUAAAAUGUGGACAAAGUUUUUAGAAUAAACUUCUUUUUUUUUUUUUUUUUCGNNNNNNNNNNNNNNNNNNNNNNNNNNNNNNNNNNNNNCGGAUAGUCUAGUUUAGUGGCUAAAAAUUUUAUUAUUAAGGUAGAUAAGUAGGGUGUCAAGAGUUGAAACUUCAAUUCCUGCAUAGUGCAUAUAAAAUAAUAUGUCUCUUACCAACUGAGAUAAACUCAUAGGGACAAUUUUCAGAUUCAAAUUGUACAUGUGAAAAAACUUUAAAUGCAUGUACCAUAUAGAUACCUCAAUUUUUAGUUAUAUGCGGGUUUGAAGUCACAAUUCUUCACUUCUACAUAUUAAACGUUUAACGUUCGAGAUUUUCACCCCUAAAACAUUAUAUUUAUAUAUAUAAAAGCAUCCCAUUUGUUUCAUAGAUGUCUACAUUCUUCCCCGUAAAAUACUGCAGUACCAUGUUUAGAUGUCAAAAUAUAAUGGAACCAUCGGAAAUUCUUCCCCGUAAAAUGUAUCCAUAAAAAAUAUGUCCUAAAAUGGAUUUGUAUUCUCUAUAUUUGAGUUUUCUAAAUUCACCUACGUUUAAUGUAAAUAAAAUAAAAAAAUUUAUCGUGAACUUAACUCAGUUGGUAGGGAUAUCGCACUAUAUGUGUAGGAGGUGGGGUUCGAACCCCGAACACUUGACUUAUUCAGUUUUAAAGUGGAAUUUAUAGUUACUAAAUUACGACAAAAACGAAUUAUAUUAAAAUAAAAAAUAGGAAUCAUUCCGAGAGAUCAAAUACAUCUAACAAAUUUUAUUGGUCUCAAUUCUCAAUGGCAAGUAUAUACCCCGAAGUUUCAACGGCAAGUAUAUAGAAUCUACGUUUAUUUUCUACUUUUUAUUUUUGACAAAUUUUCUCUUCUAGUUUUAGAUUCUUAAAUUCAUUAGUAUUUUUUGUCCAUUAUCAUUUGGUAUAUAUCUUUCAACGUACACAUAAGAUAUGAAUUAAUUUUUAUUUUUUUUUGAUAAUUGAAUUAAUUUUUUUUUAUAAAGAUUAGUUUGACAGUCCAACAUAGAGUGACAUGGAGUACUAAAAAAUAAUAAAAUUUAAAACUUAAUUUUCAUGGUGACAGUUGGUAAAAAAUAAUUAAAAAAAGUGAUCCACUUGAUGUAAGAUGCUGAGAGAGAGAAGAGAAGAAGGUGUAAAUCUAAAGAUAGUUAACACAAAAGUCUAAGACGUGAUGCUGGCGGCGAAAAUUAGGUUACGGAUGCGUGGGGGAAGGGUCAAAGAGAGGCUCUUCACAUGCUCAUAUUGUUAUUAUUAUUAUUAUUGUUAUUCAAUUUAACAACGAUGGCUAUAAUUAAAUAAAUAAUAAAAAUAAACAAUAUUAUGUUGGUCCUAUUAAAAAUGAGCUUCAUCUUCUCAUAAUACGUGUUAUCAUCCGUAAGUCCCAUCUUAACCGAGUUUUAUUUCAAAAUUGUUAGAUUUGAUGUAAUGAUUGAGGUUGAAACCCUUGAUUUUUUACUUGUAUGUAAGUUUAUAAUGACUUUGUCAUUUCAUUUAUUUAUCAAAAAAAUUGAGUUUCAUUUUCUCAUAAAAAAGGAGUUUCAUCGACCGAUAAUAUUAAUAUUGUUAGAUUGAACAAAUUUUUAUUUAAAUUCAAAAUCAGUUGUCGUAUUACGGUAGUGCUCUCUCUAGUUUUAUAUAUUAAACACGACAUUUAUUUGUGGACGUCAUCAACAUUAAUAUUAAUUAUCUGCGUAUUAUAAUAGUGCUAUCUCUAAUUUCAUAUAUAUAUAUAUAUAGUCCAGAAGGAUAAAGGAGUAUUUUAUACACAUUUCUUAUAAUAGAAAAAUUACUCUCUCAAUCUCAAAAUAAUUGUCACAUUUUACCACUGCACACUUGUUGAUGCAUAAUUUUGAUCGUGAAUAUCUUUUGUUGUGUAUUAUUAAAAAUUGUGAAAAAUUGAUAUUUUGAUAGUACUCAUCGAAACAAAUCUAAAAAAUCUCAUAUAUUAAUAUUUAUCUUUAUACAUUAAUAAAAAAUUAUAGUCAAAAUAACUUAUAUGAAUAGUGCACAUAUUCAAAUUUUGACAAUUAUAUUGGCAGAGGAGUAUCAAUUUUCUGCAUGACUUAGUUGGCGCAUUUAUUUAUUGUGCACUUACGUGUGACCCUUCAUUUAAGGCCUUAAUUACCCGGAAUUUUUUUUAUCAAUGGAAAGGCAAAUGAGUGAAAGAAAUAAAGAAAACUCUAAUUCUUUUAGGAAAAUGCUAACCGGUGUUCCCGGGGCACUGGUUAAGGUAACUAAAGAUAGUAAUAUUAUCUUGAAACUUGUGAAGUCAACAUCUUAAAAAUUUUUAUUUUUAUUUUUUCAAUAUAAUUUUUUUCUUUUCUUUUCCUUUACCCAUUCUUUUAUUGUAGUAGUACUAGUAAUUACAGUGAUCUUUUAUCUUUAACUUUCUAAUUCUUGACGAGGAAAAUACGAUACAUUAAAUAUGGAGCUGACGUAAGCCGUGACUUCUGCACUAAUUCCUUGCCUCACACACGUGAGUGCAUGUACGUAUAUGCUAGUUACUCCUCCGUGCUAUUUUAUAGAACUUCAUUUAACUAAAUAUAUUAUUCAUCGUAUUUUUUUUAUAAGUAUAUAAAUGUAAAUAUUAUCAUAUAAAAUUUUGUUUGAUUUAUUUCGACGAGUAUUUUUAAAAUAUUAAAUUUUUAUAAUUUUUACUAAUGUGCAGUUAAAAAUAUUCGUAAUCAAAAUUAUGCAUUGGUGUGCGCGCAGUGGUCAAAUAGUUCUUAGAUUUUGAGAAGGAUGGAGUAAUUCUUAAUUUGAUUUUCAAAUCAAAUUUAGGAAAAAGAAAUUCCUCAAAAUGUUUUUACUAAGAAUAUGAUAAAAAGAAUCCCAUGGAUUUUGUAACAAAACUUACUAGUAUUUAUUACUCAUCCGUCCCAUUUUAAAUGACUUUUUUUUACUUUGAUUUGUCCCAAAAUAAAUGACAUAUACAACUUUCAAAACCAUUUUUUCCAAUUUUAUCAUUUAUGUGGGCCCCUGUUUAUGUGUGUCAUACUCAACCAAUUUAAUCAUUACUACUAAUAAUGAAAAAGGUAAGGGUGGUUUAGUAAUUUUAUAUUUAAUUUAACAGUUUUAUUUCAUAUACAGAGGAGUUCUUGUUCUUUGAUUAUUUCAGCGUGCAUAAAAGAUUAUCUUUGGCCUUCAUUUGUAGGCAUACUUAGUGUUUUUUUAGUGCAUUUAUUAAAUACUGAAAAAAUUGUUUUCCAAAAUUAAGCACAGACUAUUGUACGUUCACACCAAUCUUAGAUUUCCAAAUUAACCAUAGCGUCGGGUGUCACACCAAAUUAAGCACACACUAUUGUACGUUGUGUGUUUUAUAUAUAAAAUUUGGUGUUAAAAAGAAAUGGUCCUCACAAACGCACAACCCACGACAUGGUCCUCCCGGUACUAGGGCAAGACUCAAGAAUUUGUAUCAAAUAGUUUGUUAUGCAAGUUAGUAUUUAGUCACAGUUCCUCAAAUAUUAUGCAAUUCAAUAUAAUAUAUAUACAAUAUGUCUUUUUAUUACCGGUCCAAGUUAUUUUUUAAGAGUACUCUGUAUUAGUCCAAGUUGAAGUACGUAUUUUGUCAAAAAAUAUCUAGAUACCCUAAAUUUUGCACCCUGACCCUACCUUUAAUUAUACCACAUCGAUCGAUCGUUUGAUAGUUAUAGAUUUGGAUUAUGCAUGUAGGAGACUCUCUCAUUAAAUUACUAGUAAUUUAAUUUCUCUAUAGUUUAGAUGGUCAAAUCUUUGAAUUCCAAAGGCAUGACCAUGCUGAAAUAUUCCAAACAAUGGAACACUCUUUCUUAUUAUGUUCUCCGUGUUUAAAAUUAGACAUAUGUGGACACGGAUUUAGUACAUAGUACACAUCGCAAUUAAAAAUGAAAGUUGGCCAUAUUCUAGUGAUGUAGUAAUGUGCAUGUUGGGGAAAAAAAAUGAGAAGACAAAAAAAAUCCAAUGUUAAGGAAAACAAAAAAACCAAUACCAAAAUGAUAUCAACAAAAAUAGAAAAAAGGAAGAUCAUUCUUGUUGCAUACAAAGGCAUAAGAGAUGAAAUUAAGAAUGGAAUCCCACCACAUCACACCAUUGAUCUGAAAGUCAUGAUUAACCAAUUUAUCCGCGUAACAAUUUCCUUCACGAUAAAUAUGGGAGACUCAAAAUCGAAAUCCUCGAAUUAUGGAGACAAUUAGACCAACACUUUCGUAACCUCUAUGUAACCAAAGAAGGUUUACUAAAAACUUGAAUAGUCAUAGAAGAGUCACAUUCAAGCCAAAAAUAUGUCCAACCUUUGCUAGUAGCAAACUUUCUAUAAUAUUUUUCUAGUUUUUACUUUUCUUGUUCCCUUUAGUUUAGCUUUACAGCUGCUCACCAUGUGUUGGUGUAACUAGUCCUCUUUUCAAAUUGGUGUAUCUUCUAAAUUUCACUGUUGUUUAUAUCUUUCUCAAUUUCAUUCAUUGUUUCUUCUUCCAUUCAAAGUUAAUAAUUAUGUGACUACUUAAACUUCAGGCUACCAUGUUCAUGAUCCAAUUGUUCUCUUCCAAAAACAUUUGAGCUUUUGAGUAGUGAUGACUCAAAGUAUCUAUAUCUAUUCUGUUACUGACCAUGUAAUUCACAAUGACUAGAGAAUAUAGCUUCAGAGCUCAACAACUAAACUAGUUUACAACAUGCUAUUAUCUUCUGAAUCAAAUACUUCAAAUUAACUAAAAAAUAUAAGGUUGGAAUCAAAUACUUCAAAUUACUGAUAAAAUUAAGUAAAAAAUAUAAAAAGUGCAUAAAUAAAUAUGUUAAUACAUAUAAGUGCUUUUUUUUUCCUAAUUCUUAAUCAACUCUGCAAAUUCAACUAAAGUCACAAGCUACCUAUUUUACAAGGAAAUCAGCAGCAAAGGUAUCUCCUAGGUGCUUCUUAGGAAAAGAUGUAACUUCGAAGCCAGUCAGAUUUACCACCAAUCUAGAAGUGGUGUUGCCAAACACGAUAUUCACAAUUAUCUUCGUAGUUGCCUCUGCAUAAGCAAAUACAGAAUUAAGUUUAUUGAAUUAUUAUCAUUGAUGUGAAAAUGAGCAGACCAGUAAAAAUGUAUCUAUAGCUUUGCAGAAUUUGUCAUGUCAUAACAAGUACAAAUAGUUUAAUAACUUCACAAUUAUAGUGUAAACAAAUUUUAUGACCUCCAGUCAUAAUUUACCAUUUUCUGCAAAGACUACAUUUUGACAUGACAAGUUAGUGAAAUAUGAUUGAACAUCUGUUUAAAACAUGUUUAGGCUAUCGACAUAUAUAAAUAUUUUAGCACAGGAAUUUUUUUUGUAAGAGUAUAUCAAACAAACAUACUCUUGGGGCAUUCGGAGCAACUUGCGGACGUCUAUCAGAAACUCGCUCUGGGUCUGGGAUCAAAUCUGGACUAUCAUGCUUGUAAAAUGCCUGUAAAGCUCUUCCAAUAAAUGGGCGAACAAUAUUCACUUCCAUUGCAGACAAGUUUUUAAUCUGCAAUAUACCAAGACAAACAGAUAUGUAACAAGACAAACAGCCUGUAUUUUGCAGCCAGAUUUUUUCGCACACAUUCUAAAACUGGAAAAGAACUUAUCGUUUGGCCUGGCUUUUUUUCCUCUUAUUUAGAGCUUAUGCAAACAACUUAUGCAAUUUAUAUAUAUUAUUAUAAGUUUGUCAAGGUAGUUUAUGAUAAAAUAGCUUAUAAAAUUACAAUUUUCACUAGUGUAAACUUAUAAAAUAACAUAAAACUUAAUUUAUAUUGCAUAAGCUAUUUGCAUAAGCUCAAAAAAAGCUAGGCCAAACGGACUCGACAUUACUGCAUCAAAUUCAAAAUGCAAGUAUUAAAACAUGCCACUCAAAAUGCAAGUAUUAUUUAAAACAAAUUUUACGAUUAAUGAGAAAACACGCCACUCUAAGUAGAAUGCUGAUAGAAACCAACUAGUAUUAUCAAGAAAUUAGGAAACAUCUUCCCUGCACACAAUGAUUCCUAAAGUAUUCAACAGACUCUCCCGAUGACAAAAGGCCUCAAUUCUAUACAGAUGACACAAUAGAUCACUCUCUAAGGCUCACCUGUAGCCAACAUAGCAUGCCUUACUUCCAAAUUAUACCUAACUAACUCAUAAGUAACAAUAACAAUUAACAGAUUAAGCUCUUAACAGACAGUAACUAACGUAUCAAAUACAAACUUUGGCAUCACAUAGUGGCAUCACAUAGAGAGAAAAUUAAACCCAUAUAUAUGAAAAAAUACAAUUGCAUUCCAGACUUUUACGAUCAUUGUACUGCUGAAAUGAUUAGACAAAUUACCUUCACAGCUAUUGUACGACCAUUGAAUGCCUCCAAGUCAGUUUCAACUUUAUGAAACCUUACGUCUCUGAUGUCCUCAAUUAAAGACCUCACCUUCACAAGAGAAAUAAGCUAAGCAUCAGAAGAAAAUCUUGCAGCAUAUUUCUGGAAAAUCAAACUUCUUUUUAACUCACCAUGUAUGCAUCAGAGAUGUUGUCUCGUGCACUAAAAAAUAAGAUAAAAAAUAUAUUAGUUAAUAUAGUAAAAUAAUAGUAUCUAACAGAAUAAGACUUAUUUUUCUCUAAACUUACUGAUCAAAAAGAAGUCUUGAGAUUUCUACAUAAUGAAAUGGCAAGUGCUCAGACAUCUCUUGAGAGUCUCGCUCUGCUUCCAACACUUGAGUCAACUUCUCUAAUCACAAACAAAAGUUGGGAGAAAUAUUAAGUAUAUACUUCCUGUUAUUACUUUUACCAACAAAUUUUAAACUAGAAAAGCAAAAAAUGAUCAAAGCCAAACCACACCUAGACAACCCAAAGGACGGGAAAAUUUAAAAGAACCAGCUGAUUAAUCGUCAUAAUUAAAAACAGGCAAUACGAAAAAAUAUUUGCUUUAAACAAUAUAACAAAAAAAAAAGGGUUGAAUACUUAGCCCAAAUCAAAACUCAACACAAGCUAGUGUUGUCAAUCCAAAAAAUAGCAGUUUGUUCAAAUUCUACUACGCUAUUUGACAACACUUUGUAGAAGGGCCUAUAGCCGUAUGGGAUAACAAUAGUGGUUUGUUAAAAUUCCAAAGCACUAUAGCCGUUAUUUGAUAACACUUACACAAUCUUACAGUAGAAGGGCCUUGAGUAAAAAAACGAAAACAAAAAAGUUAUUGGAACAAACUCAAGUUAAAAACACAUUCUUUAAAUUUCCCUCAUCUAUUUUUAUUCUCAUAUAUCGCAAUUGAACACUUAUAAUUUCUAUUGCCAAUGUUAGAUUGAGCAAGGUUUUAAAUUCCACUCCACAAAUCAACCACAUAUAUCUACAACUUUCCAAAACAUUAAAGAUCGCAACCCAAUAGCAACCGCAGUUGAAAACCUUUUUGGGGAUAAAAAAUAAGAAAGGAAGCUUACCAACAGACAUCCAUUGGGGAGGGACAAUGGAGCACUUGCCUCUCUUCUUGAGAGCAAUUGCCAACCAAAGUGGUACUUGAGUAACAAUCUGUGGCGUAAAUGGACCAAAAUCUCCCUGCCAUUGUGAUAACAAAAAAAAUAUAUAAUUCAAAUAUGUAUCUAAAACAGAACUAAUGUUUCUACAAAAAAAUAAAAGGAACUAAUGUUGUGUUUGAGAUACGAAUUAUUGCAUUGCUUACAGAAAUGAGACAGAGAGGAUCCAUUUUGAGAUUAGGCACGAUGUCUACAAUCUCGUCUUCAGCGAUGAACUCGAGCUAAUUGACAAACAAAACAAAACAGUAAUGUAUUAAUAAUUUUCAAACAAUGUAAAUAACAUAGUCCUAUGUAGUAGCAAUUAUCAUUCAUUCAUUCAUUCAUUGAUACCUCCUCUGCUGAAAAGAGUGAGAGUUCAUGAUUCGAUUGCCCAGCCAUCUUUCUCUUUCAACUUUGAACUCAACAAAUGUCUGUAUGGAGAUGAAAACCUGGUGAGUGCUAGGUAGUCAAUUCCAGACACAGUUUGUUCGUUUUUUGGACAAAUCACACAAAUAAUAAUACUAUAAACGCGUAUUUGAUGUAAAAUUAAACAAAUAACUCAAAACUCAUGAAUUUCAGAAAUCAAUAACAAGUUAACAACAACACAUUCAAGUUUCAACAACAACAGAACCACAGUGAGAAAUCAGAAAAGAGUGAGAGACCUUCGAUUGCGAGAGAGAGAAUACGAACGGCAGUCGGUGGAUGUGCGAAUGGCGGUGGGCGGUGGGCGGUGGGAGAAACAGAGGCGUCCAGUGAGCUGAGAGUCAGAGGCCGGAGGCAAGUGUGUGUGAGAGAGAGAGAGACGUGACAGUUGUCUUCUUUCUUUCGCUGUGAGACUGAGAUGAGUCUCGCUCUGAAAUGAGAACUGAACCGCAAUACAAUUUAUCAACGUUUUUUUUUUUUUGGUACAUUACACAAUUUAUUAUUUUAACUGAACUUAAAAUAACCGAAGCUAUAACGAUUAAGUAGUAAUUGAUGCUGAAUUUAUAGAGAGAAACACUGUUCGAUCCCGCAACCACGAUCAGAGAAGGUCGGAACCACUUAAUGUCAGAACUGACCCUCGAACCACAUCAAAAAUAAUGAUAAAAACAAAAAAUAAAUAAAUAACAGAAGCUAGAACCAAAUUUGACUACACAUACACUCACUUUUGUUUUUGACAAAUGGACUACAUUCACUUGUUAUCCUAAACAGUUCAAUUUCAAUUUAUUUUUUUAAAAAAAUCCUCAUUUUGAAUAACCCUAAAUCAUCGAGUUACUCGUCUCUAAAACAUAAAGGUCGCAAACAAACAACACAAGUCUCCGAGCUUCACCAUGAAAUUGAGAAAAAUACAAAUAAAGAAAUAAAGGAAGAGAGAAAUUCAAGAGAGAAAAUAAUAUCGAAUGAGCAAACUUGAAAAUGAAACUAAACAAUUGAUGGCAAGAACUCUGGUGUGAUCGCCAUCGAUGGAGAGACAAAGGAUCUUGCCACCAAAGCUACCGAGGAGCUUGAUGGCGUGUAAAGUUUUAGAUUUCAUAAUUCGUUCUUGCUACUCGGUGAGUUGUAUUAAUGAAAAAUAAUUGAAAGAUUCUAGAAAGAAAAAUAUGUGAAGAGGGAAGAAGAAUUUGUGCUCCUUGCUUGGCUUCAUUUCGAUUUUGAUUCACAACUCACUUUGCUACUCAGUCACUCAUUUUAAUUUUAAGCGAUUUGAUUCUCCUUGUCUUGUCACAAUGAAAAAAAAAUUCUUUUAUGAAGCAACACAAUUGCCUCAAAAAUACUGAAUUAAUUGUUCUGGCUUUGAUUCGGUUCACUGAACCGAUAUAACAAUUUAGUUCGAUUGGAAACAAAACAUUACUGGUUCAAUUUGAUUUUUCAAGCUAUUGUGACAGUUCAGUUAAAUUUUCUCCUUAAACAGAACCAUCAACUUUCUCCUAAUGUCAAAGAUAUUAUCAAGGACACACUCUACAGCAAGCUUACAACUUGGCUUCAGCAACGGUGGCAUCAUUGAUUCCAUCCAUACUCCAAGUGUGAGCGGAAAAGAAUAUCCCCCUCAUUUUAAUCCCGAGUGAUUGAACCAAUAUGAUAAAACUAGUGAAAUGUAGUAUAAUACGUUUGCAUAUAUUGAUCAAUGGUCGAUCUGUUUUGUUAAAGUUUGAGUUUCACAACUAUGCAAUAUGAUAAAACUCGGAGUUUUGUAUGAUAGCAUCAUCAUCUUGCUAGAAUUUAUCUCUACAUUUAAUAAGCUAAAGAAAAUCUAUCAUGCAAAUUAACUAAAGAAUGAGUUUGCAUCCAUAUUAUUCUAAUUUGCUUGCCUCAAAUCGCAUCCAAGCUGGCAUUUGCUAAAUCUUCGAUAUUUCAUUACAAUGCAACAUGCUGUUUUUCAUAUUUCUAACCAAGGCAUCUGUUAACCAAAAGAUGUGUCUAGUCUACCGAACGACAUGUUGCAGGAUCAAUCAUCAGUGCCAAAGUAGCGAUCACCAAAUUCACCCAAUCCAGGGAUAACACGAAACUCUUCAUUUAAUGCAACAUCAAUCUCAGAUGUGACAAUUUUCAAUGCUGGGAACCUUUUACAAACACAAUGGAUUCCUUCAGGAGCCUGAAAAGGAUUCACACAAUCAAUGCAUGUAAACAAAGUGAAAUUAUAAUCAAAUAACCACGAUUAUAUUUGCAAAGAAAAGCAUCAAUAUAAACUCACAGAAAUGAGAUUCAGGAAUAUAAUGUGGGAUUCUGGUACUCCUUUCUGAAUGAGUAAUUCAAUUGCUUGGUUGGCUGAAUUGCCUGCAGUAGAAUUAUUGAUAUUAAUUUUUUAUUCCUCAACAGUCCAGAAAACAUGGAUUAAGUAACCAUAAAUUGAGAAUGAUUCAAACAAAUCAUCACUCGACUACUAAACUUCUCAAGUAUACAAUCACAAAGUAAAAAUUAAAAGUACAACUUAGUGAUCACUGCUUUCGGCUUUUACCUGCUCCUUAUGUGGUAUCUAGCUAAUACAAUUGCCAAAUAAAUUGAAUUAUAUUUUUAUCAUCCCUUCUCACUCACCAACUAACUAGAAAACAGUAUUCCACAUUCACAUGUAUCAUUCAAACCAGUAACAUUAUUAACAUGCUACCCUUUUGUAGCAAACAACUAAAGAGUAAAUUGUUACUUUUCUCCCUGGCAGCUGGCUACUAAUUACUUUGUAAUAUAAUUAACAGGGUUUUUUUUCUCAUAGAUUCAAAGAAUGUAAAAUACAAGUGUAUGCAUUACUUGCGGACAUACAAGAUUUAAGCAAAUAAAACCUAUGACAAUAUGACACAGUAUAAUAAAGUGGAACAAUAAAUAGUGGAAGGACAUUUCAACAUUUCAAAACUUCACCUGUAGCAAGGACAGGGUCCAGAAGCAAGACAUGCCGUUCUGAUAUAUCCUUAGGAAGCUUUUCAUAUAUAAGCUGCUCAGAGAAGCAAAGAGUUUACCAUUAAAUACAAACUACCAUAUGAAACAUAGAGAUGAGGGCUAUUGUAGGCAACUUCAUGGAUUCCAAAUAAUUUACAUUACCUUCGUCAAAAAAACAAAAAUUUACAUUACCUGUUUUCCAUUGUCUCCAUCCCGGUGAAUCAGAAUUUUUCCAAUUUUAAUGCCUUUACAACAUGCACGAAGUGCAUUUUCCAUGCUUUCACCACUAUAAUAAUAUAAAAACAACGAAAAAAUUUCAGCCUAAGCUUGAAUGCAGAAGUCAAUAAGUUUUAAGUGCAAGGACUCGAAUGUUAAAGAUGGUAAACAUAUCCAUAGAAAGAAUCUGAGAUUGUAACAAAGGAACUAGUCUUAGUUGCAUCGUUGCAUUUUUGGUAGAAACCUAUCAUUUGGACUAGACCUGCAAAAAUCAAUACCUGGUACAAAGCUUAGCUCACCUUCGAAUAAUUGAAACACCGCAUAAUUUCUUGCAGAAAUCAACACCAGUAUAGACAGAUCCUGAAAUAUAAACCUCAUUUCAGUUAAUUAGUGGUGUCAACAUGAAUCAUUUUAUGUGUCCUACUGUGGUUUCUUAGCCAUACAUGUUCCAGUUCACAAAGUACAAAUAUUGUUCCCCAUAGAAGAGAAGAUUAUAUGAUGAACAUCAAAGUAAAAAACUGCAAGAACUGAAUACAAAGAGAGAUGAUUGCCUGUUGGAGUGACAACUUGCUUUUCGGUGAAAGGAAGAUGACCGAGACCAUGCUCAACAACCUGAUGGCCAAGAUCAGCAAAGGUAGUUAUAUCAUUUAACUACUAAAACCUCAUUAAGUAAAAAUGUUCAACAAAGCUAUAAGCAUACAGUACCAGCCGUAUAAGUCGAUCAGAAUAAAAUACAAAAUCAUGCUUUGAUAUAUCUUUGUCACGAAUCAAUGUAUGCAUCCCCCUUAUCUGAAACAUAACCAUAACCAAUAAAGGAACAACUACAGAUGAAACAAAUCAUUACAUCAGUAUGUAGCCUAUGAACUUAGAGCUCCCAUAAGCUAAAAAGCUAACCAAAACAAAAAAAUCAACCAAUCUGCGUGUCUUAUAAAAAAUACUUGGUCUGUUUGCCAUAAAUCAUAAUAGAACAAGUACUUUUCUUAAAUUGAAAUAAAAAUCCAAUAUGUUUGGUUGAGUAGCAAAAUUUAGGAUCUUCUAUAAAUUUUUAAUAAUUCAAAAUGGAAAAUAAAAUAAAAAUUUACAAUGUAUGUCAAGGAUACCUGGAAUGUAGAUUGAAUAACAUAUACGUUUGGAUAGAUUUUGCAUAGAUCAUGUUGACCAAGCUUUGUGCGGAUGUGUUGUGUAAUCAAAUCGAUGGCAACAUGAUUAUCACCUCCACGAGGAAUGAUCACAUCAGCAUAUUUCUUUGAUGGUAGAACAAAGUCAUCAAAAGCAGGCUUAACAAACUUUGCAUACUACAAAAACCAACAUUACAGGAAGUUAGGAAUAACCGUUCAAUGCGAUUCAUCACAUCUCAUAAGGUGUAUAAAAUUGUUUCUACAUUUUUUACAUAUCAAGAUUUCUCAAAAAUAUAAAUUUUGUAUGAAAGAGUUAUAAAUAUUAGCCUAACUGUUAUAAAACCAUGGUUUCUAAUUAAAUUGCAGGACUUACCAUUUCGAGAACAGAGUUUAUGUCUCUACCCCUUUCCACUGUGUCACGUCUAAUUCUACGAGCAAGCCUCACAUCAGCAUCUGUAUGCAAUUAAUAACCAAAUAUAUUAUUAAACAGAGAAGGAAGGGUUGGGUAGCUUCCAAUAAUGCAAAAAAUGAUAUAAAUAAUAGCAACCUCUUGUGAAGUGGUCUUCAAAUAAGGACCAGUAACUAAUUGGAGAAUUUACCUCAACAUGACAGGAAUGAAAAAGAGUUGAAUAUAACACAUGGAGAAAUGAGCUUACUAAUACCCUUAUAUCAUGUCACUGACCAUAUAUAAGUCAAGUUGCAGUUCACAAAACAAAGUUACCCGUGAGAAGGUACUAUGGUAGUAUAGAUCUAAAUCAUAUAUCAGUGGAAUGCCUAUUGGUUAGAAAAUUUAAUACCAUAUACAGUUAAAAAAUAUAAUACAAGUUACCCUAAUCAUUUAAUUCUUCCGAUAUUCUAAAAAACUAUGACAAUAAUUAGCGUCCCUGUGAUUCAUCCAUGGCUUCAGUUCUACAGCAAUUUUGUUGUGCAUUUUUUAUUUCUAGGAGUUUCUUUUUUCACAUUCUUAACAAACGAUCCAUAUAUGUUUCCAUGUAUCUAAUUUUACGAAGUACUUACACAAAUGCAACACAAUAUCUCACAAUAGGAGAAAUAAAGAGACAGAAAAUGGUUCCAAAUAAUUAUUAAUGAAAGCAUAGUACUUUGCUGUAUUUGUAGACUAUUAAAACUAUAAUAACUUGUACAUUUCAAUGACACAUCAUUGGAGGGGGUGGUAUGAAAAUAAAAAUGUAUCAAACCUGUGUCAACAAAGAUCUUCAUGUUCAUCAGAUCACGGACACCUUGAUCGUGGAAUACAAGAAUUCCCUCCAAUAUAAUGACAUCAGAGGCAUUGACCUGGGCAUAGACCACAAAUGUCAAUUACUAUUCAGCAAGAACCACAAAAACUUUCUGAUACGAUCAUGAGUUCCCUAAACAUGUGGAAGGGAACUUAUAAAAAAUGCACAAAAAAUAUUUUGGAUGAAGAUGCUUUGAGCCCAACUUGAAGCCCAAUUCACAUGAUAACAAGCAUCAUUGGGCUGAUUUGUGGUCUAAUAAUAUUGGACUAAAUAAAUAAACAAUUAAGUCCAAUUUUCUUUAUUUUUAUGGCAAUUUUCGUUUUUGGUAUUUGGAGGAUUUUUAGAUGACCUUUAGUUGCUCCCUAGGCUCUCUAGAUGCUUCCUAGUGGCGCGGCGCACUAAGUCAUUAUAGUGGCAGUGGGAAUUUAUAAGCAUGUCAGUGGGAAUUUUCUAAGUCCUAUGAUGAAUGUAUGGUAGUGGUCAAUAAAUCCUACUACGUAAGGAUAGACUAUAAACAGGGCUUUCAUGUACUUCUCAAAAUAACUUGAAUAUAAUCAAAUUUGAGAGUUUCUCUUGGGAGAACUUUUUCUUUGUUCUUGUGAUAAGAACUUGUUCUUGAUAUAAGAACUUUAUAGUGUUGGUUCUACCGGCAGGUCGCGGUUAGGGUCGCACUUUGUUUGAUAACUUUGGUUCCGGUUAGGUUCAAGUUCCUCUUUUACUUGAUAACUUUGGUUCUACCGGCAGGUCGCGGUUAGGGUCAAGUUCCUCUUUUACUUGAUAACUUUGGUUCUACCGGCAGGUCGCGGUUAGGGUUAAGUUCCUAUACCUGUUUCUCAAGACGAUCCAUAAGCGGUCGCUAAUCACUUUCCAAUAGGAAAAGGAGAAAUGUUAAUGGUACAUAUGAAGCCCAUUUACUCCAAAAUUUUCAACAUUUGAAAAUAAUAAUUUUGAGUGAUAAAUUUGAGAUGCGGUUUCUGAAUUUCUCAUCAGCCUUUUCAAUGUGGAAAAGGAUUUUUGUGUCCAUGGUGAACCUUGGCUUUGUCCAUGGAAAAUCAAAGUGACCACAAAUGAGACUUAAUCACGUUUCACCGUGAAUCUUUACAAUAUCAAGACGACACAAAUGUUACCAUGUCAUCGAUUUAAAACAUUGGUCCCACCCUACCAUCUAAAGUUGUUUCUUCUUUUACACAUGCUUCAAGUUAAAUUAGUUAAUAUUAAAUAAUAAAUGACCUAAAAGUGGUAAUGUAAGUAUAGAAGGAGAGCAUAAUCCACACUGUAUACCUGACGGAAACUAUCAGAAGAGCGUUGGUGCUUCUUAAAGUCGUAAAUGGGAAUUUUGACUCUUUGGCCACUGAUGAGCUUCUUCAUACACUCUAACAGUUGCUCCGUGUCAAAAGCAUCUGCAACAAACAAACAAAUAAGAAACCUAUUCAAAGGACUUGUUAACGUAUAUUAGUUUUCACCGACAUCCAAUAAAGAUUCAUUACUUUGCCACUUCAUAAAAUCAAUUUAAAACACAUUUAUAAGAAUAGGAUGACAUGGCAAAAUAAUAGACUAAAAUUGGUUUACACCGACAAUGCAUGUAAGUUAAACUCUAGAGUUAACCGCCAUUUUUGUCGUGAGGUGGUUGACUAUAGUCCCUGAAUAUAUCAAAAAUACAAAAAACAUGUACAAAUGUAUCUUGUUGUAGUAAUUUCCCCGAUGACCAAACUGACUAACAAAAGACACAUUUGAGGGACAAACUAAUAAAAGAUGCAUACCCGGGUCUAACUGUCUAAUAAUUAAUAAAAGACAAAUUCAGGUACUGUAUGUUUUAGUAGUAAUUUUGAUACAUUGUCUCACAUUAAAAGACUAAAAUGCGUAUUUACUCUAAAGUCUAAACUAUAAGCCAAAAUGAAUGAUUGAUUGAUUAAUUGAUCGAUUAAAUGAUUUACCAGGGUGAUCAAAAUUGUACUCGUGAACAUGUUCCAACUCUUCCGGUUUCAACCCGCGAUAAAACGAAUCCUAUAUACAGUUAAAAAAAAUUGUUGAGUGAAGAAAAUAAAAUGAGAUUAUAAUGUAAUGUAGUUUAGGUUAAGUAAUUAGGUAGUACCUGAUUAACAAGAACUACACGAUGAUCGUGAAGCUGUUGAAUGAUCAUAUCACAAACAGUGGUUUUUCCAGAAGCAGUUCCACCGGAAACACCUGCACCAACAUCACCGCAACAAAUUGUUCAUUUUCAUUGAAAUUCAAAUUCAGAGAGAGAUAGAGAGAGAGAGAGAGAUACCAAUGACGAAGGGUUGAUUGAGAAGAGAAUCGGAGGUUAGGGUUGAAUUGGGAGCGAAAGAAGAGGUUGGGGAUGAUGAAAGUCGAGCGUCGAGUCGAAGGCCGGAAAAGUGGGGACCAGAUGCUGCUUCCAUGGCGUAAUCAAUCGAAGUUGUUUCUGUUUCCGGCGUCGCUUUUUUGUGUUUCAUUAGUCUCUUUGGUAGACUGAGUCAAACGUGAAUGUGAUGAUGAUGAUGAUGAUGAUGAUGAUACUUGUUUGUUUGUUGUUUUGUGUGAAAGAGAAAACUUUGGAAAUGAAAUAAAAUAAAUUAAAUUAAAUUAAAUCCAAAUAAAAUAAAAUGAAAUACACUUCUUUUUUUUUUUACUAAAAAAAAAAUUACAUAUCAAAUAUUUGUCACAAAAACUAUAAUAAAAAUAACGUGAAUUUAGUACAGUUGAUAGUACAAUUGCAUUUUAUAUGUCGGAAUUCGAACACCGAAAACCAUACUUAUUCACCUCAAAAGUGAAAUUUAUAUAAUUAUCAUCUAUAAUUUAUAUAAUUAUCAUCUACUAUAAGUGUACAGAUAUAUUAUGAUAUAAAUUCAAACAUAAAAUUUCACAAUUUUUUCAAUCUUCACACUUAAAUAUGUAAGUUCAUUCUCAUACGGUUUAACUUAACAAUAUGGCAAUAACUAAAAUUUUUUACAUUGUACUAUAUAUUAAUGAAAUUAAAUAAAAGUCAAUCCAUUUAGUCUAGUCUACUAUAAAAAAUAAACAAAUGAAAUAAUAAAAAUAAUAUAAAAUGAACAUAGUACAUCUCAUCAUAUUUUAUGUGAUAUUAUUUGAUUUGAUUCUAUUUUUUUUAAUGUACUUUUGUUUUGUGGUUCAGUUAUAAAAAAAAUGUACUUCAGUGGAUCCCAGCCACAUGCCUUUUAUGAGGGGAAUAUGCCUUGGAGUUGGAAUAUUAUGCUAUUCUUUAUUGUUUUCGUUUUGAUUUUUAUUUAUUUAUUUUUAUAGGAAAAUGUUAAAUGGUUAACCCAAAGAAUAAAAAGUUAAGUGAGUUGGGUUAUCAAGCUAACCUAAAUCAGGCAUGUUUCAAAGUUCAGUGGUGCGCAUGACAGGAUAGUGAUAGGAUAAGAUAUAAAAUAGGAUAAAGAUAGGAUAUGAUAUCAACAGGAUAACAGUUAUCCUCAGUUAUCCUAUCUUGUGUUUGGUGCACACAGGAUAACAAACUUGAUAACUAUUAUAUCAUGUUUUUAAUACAUAUUUGCUCAUAAUAAUAUGAUAAGAUAUAUAAAAUAUUUAAAUGACAAAAUUACCCUGGUAAAUCAAUUUUAUUUUUUUAAAAUUAUUUUGUAAUACUUUGAAUAUUUUAAAUAAAAAUAUAAAUAAGUAAUCAAAUAAAUUUAUAUAGUUUUAAAUAAAAAACAUGAGAAAAUAAUAAAGUUUAAUUUUUUAUAUGAAUCAUGAUCAAAUAAAUAAUCCAAUGAUAUAUAAUAUAUACAUGUUAGAUAAGCUAAAUAAAUAUAUGAUAUAUCUCAUACCUAAAUAUUAAAAAUAUCAUUGUAAAAUAAUUAUAUUUAAUUUCUUAUAAAAUUUAAAUUAAUAUCCAUAUUUUACGAUUUUUUUAAUAAUUAGUUUACUUUAAAAUAUUGUAAUUUUAGUAUAAUUUUGAUUUUUUAAGAUUAUGUAAAUUAUAAAAUUACCCUUGUGAGAAAAUCAUAUGUAUAUUUAAAAAUUAAUUAUUUUAUUAUUAAUUUACUAUCAAAUUAUUUGCGGCUUAACUACACAUUUGGUCCCUUACGUUUAUUUUAGGUUUCAAUUUGGUCCCUUACGUUUAAAAAGUAUCAAUUUGGUCCCUUACGUUUAUUUUAGNNNNNNNNNNNNNNNNNNNNNNNNNNNNNNNNNNNNNNNNNNNNNNNNNNNNNNNNNNNNNNNNCACGUGUACUGUUCAAACGUUGAAAGUGACAAAACUAACGGAAAGGACUAACUUGAAACCUAAAAUAAACGUAAGGGACCAAAUUGAUACUUUUUAAACAUAAGGGACCAAAUUGAAACCUAAAAUAAACGUAAGGGACCAAAUAUGUAGUUAAGCCAAAUUAUUUUAUUAUUUAUAUUUUAUUAAUUUUCAUUUUUUUAUUUUAAAAUAAAUUUUAUAUAAUAAAUCAGUAAAAAAAAUAUUUUAUCCUAUCCUGCUGGUAACCCAACUCAAAUUCAGGAUAGAAUUUUAACUAGAGAGACAGGAUAGGAUAAGCUACAAGAUUAACUUAUCAUAUCAUGCUGUGUCACCAAACACUGGACUGAAACAGGAUAUGGUACAGUUAUCCUAUCUUGUCUCUUAUUCCUGUGCACCAAACGGACCCUAAAAGAAAAAAUAUCUUUCAUUGUUAUUUGCUAUUUCGAUCCGUUGUCAAAUUUGAAAGGUAGAUAUUGAUAAAUUUCAACAAUGAUUCCCAACAUUGAGGGACAAUUGUGAGUUCUUUAACCACUCCAAAAAGCGUUAAGUACAGUGUAAAGAUGAUAAAAGCAUAAAUAACUUGUUUGAUUGAUUAAGUGUAUUUGAAAGUGAGGUACUAAUAUGGAUCACUUCAUCAAGUGGUUCAUGGUGGACCAGUCAUGAAUAACAUUAUAACGAAUACGAAUUUUAUAAAAUCCACCGUUGGAUUGAAAAUUUAUAUCAUGUAGAUCAUCCAUAGAAAAAUUGAAAAUAAUUUGAUGUUAUUGAGACACAUCAAGAUUAACGGUUUAUUAAAUAACGUAAAUCUUGAUGGGUCUCAAUAACAUAUCAAAAUGAUUUUCAAAAAAAUUUAAAAAAUUUAUGGAUGGUCUAUACGAUAUAAACUUUCAAUCCAACAGUGAAUUUCGUAAAAUUCAUAUUCGGUAGAUCACUUGUCCACGGUAGACCACUUGUGAAGGUGGUCCAUCGUAUCAUUGGCCUAGAAAAUGAAUAUGAAUUCACUAUAUAGGCAAAUUCUAGUUCUUUUAACAUAAAGUAGUUAGUCUAUGGAUUUUUUUUGCCUUGAUUGCUAUUUGCACGAGUAAUGCGUGAUUUCUUCCUUCACAAGUGAUCAUGACACCCCAUGUUUGGAUCACAAUCCUCCGUUCCGUGGCAUGAUUUGUCAACUACAUGCAUUGUAUCUAUUAUUUACAUGUUUAAGAGUUUCUCUCUCUUGAUCACUUUCAUAUGUGGCAUCCUCUCAUUUAUCAUAAUUUAUGUGGCAACUUGUGAGAGCAUGUUUUCCUAUGUGGCAACUUGUGAGAGCAUAUUUUCCUAUAUGGCAACCUUUGAGAACUUCAAUAGAAAUUAUGUAAUGUAUGUACUCAUAUAAGAAUUUUUUUUUUUGUGUCCUUCUCAAUCAAAAUUUAAUGCUAAUUCAAAAAUAAUCAUUCAAAAGGAAACAAUUGAAUACAUUUCAAUUUUUUUAAUGACAAUGUCAAUUUUUACUUUUUUUUGGUGUCCUUCUCAAUCAAAAUUUAAUGCUAAUUCAAAAAGAAACAAUUGAAUACAUUUCAAUUUUUUUAAUGACAAUGUCAAUUUUUACAUUUUUUUUGUGUCCUUCUCAAUCAAAAUUUAAUGUCAAUUCAAAAAUAAUCAUUCAAAAGGAAACAAUUGAAUACAUUUCAAUUUUUUUAAUGACAAUGUCAAUUUUUACUUCUAAUUUGAUUAUUUGAUAUUUUAUUCAUUAUUAUUAUUAUUAUUAUUACAUUAUUAUUAUUAUAUUAUAUUUUAGAAACAAAGUCAUUUUGUCCCAUAAUUUGUCAAUUAGAUAAUUGCGACAUUUAUAAUUUCGAUCUUCAUCAUUAUACUAAUUUUGAGCUAUAAUUUUUUAUUAGCAGGUCCAUACGGAAGAACAUAUUGUUCGUUAUUCAAAUUAGGAUUAAGUAUUAUCAACUGAUGUUAGAGUUUUAAGUAUUUAUUUAUAUUUUUUUUAUAUUUUAUUGUCAUUUUUUUAAUCAUGUUUACUUAUUAAAAAACACUUUUUGUUCAUAUUAUUUUUUAUUUGUGUAAAACAUGCUUAUAAAUGUUUUUUUUUUACUAUUAUUAAUAAAUGUUGUACUCUUUUUUUUACUCAUUAUUUUUUUGUUUGUCUAAUUUUUCAUGUGAUAUUUAACAAAUAUACUGAUAAAAUAAUAGAAACUCCUCGAAGGACUAUACUAUAGAACGAAUUGCUUAUCAAAAAAAAUUAUAUAGAACGAAUUGGCCAAAUGUGGAACUGAGAAAUUGAAGGCUUAAUAUGUUUGAAAACAAAAUUGAAGGCGUAAGAAUCUCUGAGCAAAAAUACCCACCUUAAAAGGAAUAUAAAAAAAAUAGUAAUUUAAUUGUUCACAAAAAAAGUUAUUCUUAAACUUCAUACUUAUCGAACAGAGAAAAUGGUGUGAUUGUCUGAAAUAUAAAAGGAAUGAAGUAAUUGACUUCAUAGAUUAUUUUUCUNNNNNNNNNNNNNNNNNNNNNNNNNNNNNNNUUUUAUUUUCCAAACAUCACUGUAAGAUAAACAAAUAGAUAAAUUUUUUAAAAUUUGCACCAUUAACAAAUGAGAUAUGCAUAAAAAAAAUGAUAUAAUUUUUUUUUGUGUCAAGCAAAUGACAAAUAAUUAUACUGUUCAUUACACAAAUGUGAAAUUUUUUCACACGGGGACAUGGGCUAAAAUACUCCAGAAGAAAACAAAUGUCUAAAGGAGAGAGAUGACGAUUAAGAACUAAUAUAUAUUAACCAUUAGAUUAGUUUUUGCUUAAUGACCUUUUUUUAUGAAAAUAAAAGAACAAAUAUACGAACAUGUGGGUUGGGAACGUGGAGUAGAGUAUCACUCUCCGUUCUACCAUUUCUCCUUAAAAUCUCCAAAAUUUGGAUCAUUUAUCAUAAUUAAAUAAAUUAUUACAUUAAAUAUAAAAUUAAUUUUACAAAUAAUUAUAAAAACCACAAAAUAUUGAAAAUUUAAUAAUCCAUAUUUUUCAUGUGUCAAAAAAAUAUCUAUAUUUUUCAUUGAACAUUAACCCGUGCAUUUGCACGGGUAACUUAUACUAGUUGUAUGUUGUUUCCUUCCAUUGUGGCAUCCACAAUCCUCAAACCCUUCACCCGACUUGCGAAUGGCCAAAACCUCCUUAAAUAUUGACGAUUCAGUUACCUAAUGGUCAUCUUAAGCUUCUAACUGGUUCAAAAACUGUUCUUCCCGAUUAUCAUACUCAAAACCUUCUUAAAUGGUGUACCUUGGAUAAUACAUCUUGUUAGUUAUUUUCUCUUUUGAAUUGCUAAUUUCAUUUUUUUCGGUAUAUCUAAUGCUAGAAAUUAGUCACUUUCAGUCAUCCAAUGAGGUAAGUCAGUCGAACUUGUUCCCUAACUCUAUUUCUUUACAAGUAAACAAACUAUCAAAGAAAAGAGCGUUAAUAACCAAUCUUUUAUUCGCUAGAGUAGAUCAAGACUUUCGAUGAAUCACUUUUGAAGUCAUAAUUGUUUGAAUCUUCUCAUACUUCUUCGGAAAAGAGGUUAUUUAGUAAAUGAUGUUCAUAUCUAAACGAAAUGCCUUCUUCCUACUUGUUUGCCAUUUUCUUCUUCUGAUGUAAGGGUAUCCAUUUCUUGACUUCUCCAAGGGAUCACAUUAUGUUGAUUGAACAUGAAGACGACUUUUUUUUUUCUGUCUCAUUCACCACCUAUGUUGGUGUGCAUUCCUAAAGAGGAACUGCAAUGAUUGGACGUGAAGACAACUUUUUUCUUUGUGAAAUUUGAACCUAAAUUCAAAAUUUUAAUAUUAUCGUGUAGAUAACAGAAAAUCCUACUAUUUAAGUAACUUGAAUUUAAAUUAGUUCAUCUCAACCAUUAGCCAAAAAUAACAAUUUUGAGUCUAUUCUCUUAAAAAUAAAAAAUAAAAACCAUAGAAGUGUUAAUUCUUCUCCAUUUUUAUUUUCAUUUGUUGUUGUGGAUUACCCAACUCGAGGAGUAUCACUGUGUUACUACUUCUUAUCAACCAGAAUCAUCGUUUGAAGGGUAAUCAUAUAUAAUCUUCAUUCAUACUUUCGUACGCGUUAUAUUCAUUGAUUCUUGUUGAAACCUUAAGAACAUUGAAGUCAUAUUCUGUCAACCCAAGUUCGUGUGCAAAGUAAAUCCUCGAUUAUGAUAAAAGAACUCUAAUGUAAUUUCGCCUUCAAAUUUUCUCCAAGAAAAUCAAAUUUCAAGAUAAUAAGAGGCCAUUUAUUCUCCUACUAACGACUAGAGGAUUAGUCUCAUAGCAAGAUAUAAAAGGCCUAAUCUAGAAUAACUUGAGAUGCCUACUUAUGUCAAAUAUCUUAACUACAAUGGAUUUGAAGGAAAAACGCAAACCGUGGUGAAACAAAAUCCACGCCCUUCAACAAAUCAAAUACUUUUUUUUGUAAAAAAAGAAUAAUCAAAUAAUAGUCCUUCAAUUUCACCAAAAGCUAAAACAUAUGCAUAAUCACUAAUGAGAAAUAGUGAGAUGAAGCAUUUUGAGGCUGAAGAAGUUGAGGAAGAAGAUUCAUUCUCAACUACUGUUGUAAUCUUCACCUUCAUGCCUUGACCACAAUGACCUAAUGUACCACAAGCAAAGUAGCGUGUACCAGGCUUGUUCAGUUUUACAACAUCAUUCUCAGUACUCAUUGAGUUUACUGAAUUUCCAAGAUCACAAUUCUUGUAGUCACUUUGGCUUCCUAGUUCAACCACACUAUGCAACCGAGAAAAAUAUUUGAAAACUGUUGAAAAAAUAUAAGAAGAAUUAAUAUAUAUAUAUAUAUAUAUAUAUAUAUAUAAAACUUCAGAUAAAUCCAAAAUCAUUUGAUAUGUUAUUGAGAUACAUCAAAAUUAACAGUUUGCGUCUUUUUUUAUAUGUCGUUAAUCUUUAUGUGUCGCAAUAGCAUAUCAAAUGAUUUUGGAUUUGUCUGAAAUUUUAUACAAAUGAUCUAUAUGAUAUAAACUUUCAAUUCAACGGUGGAUUUUAUAAAAUUUAUAUCGGUUAAAAUAUUAUUGAGAUGUGUAAUAUUUGGUGUCAAAUUAAUUUGUGUCAUUUGAUCUUCACCCAUAUAUAUAUAUAUAUAUAUAUAUAUAUAUAUAUAUAUAUAUAUUUUGUUAAUCAAAACAAAAGUAAUUAGAUUUACCUAGUAGUUGUUGAUCAAAAUUACUUUUAUUUUUUAAUUUGGAUGACUUUUAACUUUUUAGGAGAAUUUUUAAAAUAACGAAAAUUUAUGAAAUAGUUUUUUCAAGUUAAAUUUAGAGAUUUUUAAAAGACAGUUAAAAAUAGGAAUUUAGGAAUUUUUGUUCCACGAUAUAGUGGCAACAACUCCGUUUAUCUAAUAUCAAUGUGUCAUGUUGAAUGCCAACAACGGUAAAAGUGUACGUGGAAGAAAAUUCUUGAAUAUACAAUGAAAAGAACUCAACAACUUUAAGUGCAUGGUUGGAUAUAGUAAUAGAAAAUUGCAUUGUAAAUAUCUUUGGGCCGCUUUUAUAAAUUUGUAGAGUUUUAAGCAAAAUUUAAAAUUUAUAAAAUAAGGAUUAAUUUACAAUUUUUAAAAAUGUAAAAGACCAAUUUGAAAAAAAAAUAGGAGCAAUUUAAAAUUUUUGAAAAUUUUUGGAUCAAUUUGCAAUUUUAAAAAGCUUAUAGGGGUCAAUUUGAAAUUUUUGAAACAUAUGGGAGGAUGAAAUUUCAAAUAUUCUUAGCAUUUAGGUCUCAUUUGAAAUUUCUUAAAUUUAACUUGGACAAAAUUCUUAAUAAAUUUCAUUAUUUUGAAAAUUUGCCAAAUUAUCAUCCAACAAGAGGUAUUUAUUUAGAUAGAAGUAUUUAAAAUCCGCCUUAAAAAAACAUUUCUUCAUCCAAACACAAUCUAAAGAUAAUUUAAUAAUAAAAGUUUUUGAGGGAAUUAUGAAAAAGUUAAAGUUGAAUAUAGUAGUAAUAAUAUUGUGUUUAACAGGAAAGAUGUUCAUUAAAUAUAAAAAUAUGUGGCUUUAAAUGAUUAAAUAAAUUUGUUCAGGUCAUUAUUGUAUACGUGAAUGAACAAAAAGUUAAAGUUUUUUUUUAGUUGAAUACAGUAUAGUAGUAAUAUUGUGUUUAACAGGAAAAAUGUUUCCUGUCAAAAAAAAAANNNNNNNNNNNNNNNAAAAAAAAAAACAGGAAAAAUGUUCAUUAAUUGUCAAAAAAAAAAAAAGGAAAAUUGUUCAUUAAAUAUAAAAAUAUGUGGCUUUAAAUAAAUAUGUUCAUGUAACCAAAAAAAAAAGGUUCAGUUCAUUGUAUAUACGUGAAUGAACAAAGAGUGAUGUUAUUAUUUUUCUUUAUUCUAACUCAAACUGACAAUGAAAAUAGAAAAAAUAUAAAAUUAAAUAUUAGUUGAUAGAUAUAAAUAAUUAAUUUAUAGUAUUAUUAACAGUUAAUCCGUCAAAAAAGAAUUAUUUACAAUUAAGUUAAUCUUUUUACAAUGGAAUGUAAAACAUGCAAAUUAAUAUAUAGUUUCAAUAUAUAUUUAAUUUAUUCUGUUUAUAAAAAAAUUAUUUGGAAAUAAGCUUUAUUGUAAUUAUUAGCCAUACCAUUUUUGGACUUGGUAUUUUAUAAAAAAGUUAUUUUUUUUAUAAUUUUAUAUAUCUAGAAAUUGCUUAAAAAUAUAUACCAUAAAAUAAAAGAAACUAAAAAAUUAACUACCAAAAAGUUGCUUUUUAAAUAUUUUGUUUAUAAUUUUUGAGUGAGUUCCCAUAAAAAAAAGGUUAUUGAGACGAUUAAAGUAACGAUUAAAUUCACUGCCAAUGAUUUGGUUUAACUGAUAAGGUUAAUCUUCUUAAGUAAGUGGUAAGAGUUUGAUCACUAACUCUUACAUAUAAAAAAUUAGCAAUAAAGAGAGAAUACACUUUACAUGUUCUAUAAAUUAUCCGACAAAAAUUAAUCACCGAAAAAUGAUGGUAAAACCUCCAUACUUAUAAUAUAGUAAAAAAAAAGAAGAAGUAAGAAUGAAAUUCUACAACUUGAUUCAAUAAGAAGGCCAUCAAGAAACUUUUUUCCUAGACACUAAGUAAACUAUCGAUAAUCAUUAAAAUGUCAUUUUAUUUAGAACUAAAAAUUAUCAUAAAUAUUCUAUACUAUAAUAUCUGAAAAUUCUAAAAUAUAAAUUUAUUAACUUGAUUUGUUGCAUAUAUUAUUUAGAGGAAAACCACCACAUUGUCAUUUUGGAAAGAAAAGAAGAAAGUAAAGGGUAUCCAACCCGUUAUUUUAAUAUCUUUUAUAUUUUAAAGUUUAGUAUAAUUUUUUUUUGGUUCAAAUAACCUAGUGGUUAAACUUCUAUCUUCAAGAUAAAUAAGUAUAAUGUUUGAGGUUUAAACUCUAAUUUCUAUAUAUAAAAUUUGAUGUCUCUAUCAACUAAAUUAUAUUUACGAGACGGUAAUUUUGUAACUCAAUGUAAAAAUUACUUCCGGCUAUCGUCAAACAUAAAAUAUGGAGCUAAAAUCAGUUUUAUCUAAUAAACUAGUCGAGAUGGCUGCAGUAUAAGAUGCACCUACACACCAAUUUUUUUGUUUUAAAUUUAAAUGAAACUACAUGGGUAGUGGUCAAUAAUUGUGUAUCCAUAUGAUGGUUCAAAUGGAGAAAUUUGGUUGAUCAAGUGGUUGAUUUCAAAUGAAGUUUCACCAAAAGAUGGAUAGUUUAAGAUAACUAAUUAAGUUCUAUUAUAGAGCGGAGUGGUCAAUAUUGUGUAUCUCAAAUAAUUUGAUUUUAGCUAAGUUUGAACUAAUGAAUUUCACCGCAGGACAAAUAGUUUGAGAUAACCUAAAGUUCUAUUUUUGAGUGAAACAAUUUUUGAUCAAACUAAUUACCUUUCGAUUGAAUUACCAAUAUCUUCUACGAACUAGAAGAUUAACAUUAAAAAAGGAAGUGAAAUAUGACUUUUCUUAAGAUAGAUCACUUUGGGCUGAACUCGAAUUUUGUGGGAAAAAGUUUUAACCCUAAUAUAACUCCGCUUUGGAUACCGAGAAUUGAGUUGUUUGUUUUUACUGUUUCUUCACUUACGCCACUAUCUUUGUUCUUUUCUAAUCACUGUAUAUAUUCUUUAAUUUUGAUGUUAAUUAUUAUUAGUAGUACUAUUGUACUAUGACUAGGAAAAAGCAAGAACCUCUUUUCAAAAAGAAAAAAAGCAAGGAACCUUGUAUUGCAUCUCACCGGUUUUGUUGUGUUUGUUCACUUGGUUGUUUCUCAACCUCGUACCUGACUGCUUUUGUGUUUAUGAUCAUUUUAUUUUUGCAUGAAUCUCAUCAAUUAUCUGACAGUACUAAAAAUAAAAUUGUUAAAGACACGAAUUCAAAUUUUAAAACCAAAUAAAAUUACCAAUAUUAAGUUGGAAGAGUUGACAACAUGACUUUCUCGAACAAUAACUCAAGUUUAAUGUCUGAAGUUGUUUAUUUGAGAGGUAUUCAGUAAAACAAAAUAAAAUAAAAAUAGAGGUUCCAUUUCCUACUAAAAGAUUAGUCUCAUAACGAGUCCAAAUAACUUAAGUAAUAAGAAUAAUUUGGGGUUUGCUCCUGCUGGAGCUUUUCGUUCUCUACAUUUAUUCCAUGAAUUUAUUCCCAAUCAAGGUAGUUUACUUCAAAAUCUCUAUACCGCGUUAUAUGCAUGAUAUAUCUAAUACUUUUUUUGGUUACAUGAGAGAAAAAACCUAAUACUAGUAGUUCCAAUCUUCCUUAUUCCAAAAAUGACGUUGGAAAUAGAUAGUAUUAGAAAUAUUGAAACAGAGGAGGUGUUACGGGUUCAUAAGAUUUGGGCACUAUGUUAGGCACACGUAAAAAGAAAAAGAUAAAAAAAAAUUAAUUAAAUAACGCAUUUUUAAAAUAAUUAAAUAAUGUAUAAAUUUAUGUGACGUAUGUCGAAACAAUUUAUAUUUGAAAUUAUUAUGAUCAAAUCAAAUAUUUAUCUAUUCAAAUGGAAUAAGGUGAUCAAGUUUCAAAACCUAAAUUUAAAUUUGUUUGGACACAAAUCAUAGUUCAACUGGCAAAAAUGUUAAAAUUGUUAGUGUCGAACGUCAUGCCCGGGAUUCGAUCCUCAGCCCCUCUACUUCAUGUUUGUGAGUUUUUAACGGCUUGUCAUUUCGUCAAUAUAAAAAAAAGGUGAAUGUUAACAUGUGCAUAUAUGGCACAUGUUAAGGUAGUAAAAAUAGAAAUUAUGUCUUAGAAUUUGUGCAUUUUAACUUUUCAAGCAUUAAAUGUCUUGUAUCAUUAAAUGUUAAAUUUCUAUAUUAAGAUACCUUAUCAUGUGCCCUAUAUGCACAUGUUAACAAGACCCUUUAAAAAAUUACUAAUAUGACUGAUAUUUUUUAUUGAGGGUAAUGUCCAAUUGCAAUAUGGCCAUUCAAUGCCAUACUAUGCCCAUUCAAUUCCAACAAUACUCAUGAGUUAUGAUGGUCAUUUACCUGAUUUGUACACAUGACUAGACUUUAUGAACCUUCUAGAUGACACACCCCAAAAAGAACACACGCAUUCAAUUUAUGCAGUUAUGGUGCAUUUAAGAUCCCAAAAAUGCAUUGAAGUACUAUUACUUUCACAAGGAUCUUGAUUUUCUUAUGUGUUUUUAUACUGAAGUCUUGCUAACGAGAGUUUCAUAGAUUUUUUUAAUAAUUUUAUUUAGAAAGUUAAAUAUUUCAAUUUUCAAUGCAUUGAUUUUAUAUAUUUUUAUAAAAAUUUAUUAUUUAAAAUUCUUAAAUAGUAUCCUAAGACACUCGUUAGCAUUUAUAUAAAUCACAAAUUGUUUGGUUAGGGUUAACUUAUGAGAUCUUAAUCAUAAUAAAUAUUGAGGGAUCUAAGAGCAUAUUGACUAUUGAGUGACCUAAAGAGAAUUUUUUAUUUUAUAGUAAAACGAUCCGAUUGUGUUUGGCGCAUUUUAAGGCCCAAAAAGAGCGGGUUAAUGGGCCAGGCCAUUGCCCAAUCCGUUUUUACAACACAAAGGGAUAAUUUUUUUUUCACCACCAGUUUAAUCUGAUUCGGAGUCAUGUCUGACAUCAAGUGGUUUCAGUCCUCUCCCAAAUCCCAUUACAGUUACGGGGAUCGAACCAUGAUCCUCCCUAUUUAAGAUUGCAAAUUAGAUAGUACAUUCAAAAUAUGAUACUUCAUGGAAUUAGACUUUGGCUUGCAAAUGAAAUAAAAACACCUUAUUUCCUACGUUUUAUUUUGGCAGUUGAAUUGAAAGAAAUUUUACGACUGUCGGUGUAGACUCGCAGAGAGAGGAUUCGAUAUAUUUAAAAGAGAGUAAAUAAAUCAAUUUGGUAUAACAUUAAACUAGAACUUAAUUUCAUACAAAUAUUUAGUUCUUUAUUUUAUUUUUUUGGUCAAGAGUUCUUUAUUUUAUUUUGGUCAUUUACGUUUUUAAUUAAUGUUGACAUUGCUAUCCUUUUAGUGGAGUUUCGUUACACAUUUGUUAGGCCCCUGUUACUCAUCAUGAUCAUUGUAUUUAAUUAUAGCCCCAUUCUUUAUUGUAGCAGCUAGUAUAUUAACUAGUAGCAAGCAUGUAGUUAUGUACAAACUACAACUCUUAACAUCACCAAAAAUCUAUAUUAGAAGCCUCAUGUUUAAAGUGAAAAGAGGCACCCCUAGUGUGAUGUUCAUGUGAAUAAAAUGAUAAAUGACAUUAAUGAUUGUUGAUUUGGGGUUGUGCCACUUCACAAUCUUCUAGCAAGGUGUUGAACUUGAACCCCUUCGAUUCUGCGUUGAGUUGACUAGGAUAAUUUGAAAUCCAUCUAAUCUAUCACUAUACUAAGGUGUCCAGUUUCAUGAUGACCAAAAAUAGGAUAUCCCAUUUAAAUUUAUCACAUACAUUACUAUAUUAACUAUACUACUGUACCCUGAGGACAAAGGUCUAAGUUCUAUAUCAAACCCCUAAUUUUUGUGUGCAUAGAUCUCCCUGAUUAUGAAAGGAUUAAGCGGCAUUCCUUCAAAGCCAUGAAUCAUGAAACUCAUUACAAUAGGAGGCUUUAGUUUAGCGGAGAAUAAAUGAAAUGCAUAAGCUGCACCUCGGCAUCACAACCUCAAAACACACAACAUUUUUCAAUAUAGAAACUAUCCUCCAACGAAACUCAAAAACGUUAUUGAGAAGAAAGGAAACAGGUACCUUGCUCAUUCCCUCCGUCUUUUCUCUUUUCUGGAAUACGAAUUUUCCUUAUCCACCCUAUAAUGAGAGGAUCUACUUGGAGAUUCAUGCUUUCCGUGCUUGUGAUGUUUUGAGUGUUUUUUACUUCCAUUGCUUUUUUCUCGAGAAGACUUUUCCCGUCUCCCUUUUGACCUUGAACUGCGUCGAUCUCUUUCAUCGUCACUGGAAGAAUCACUUUCUACACCGUGCCUCCUAUGUCGAUGAUGCCUGGAGCGUUUUCUGCUCCUAUCCUCUUCCGAUGAAGAACUACUUCUAUAAUCUAGGCGGUGUGUUGAGGGUGUUUUAGUUUUCUUGUACCCGUCAUAUUUUUCCCUAUCUAACUUAAUAGAGCGCUUUCUGCUCCUGUCCUCCUCUGAGCUGCUGCGAUGGUUUUGGUUGCUGACUAAAGGUGAUUUAACUUUCCUAUCAUCUUCAUACUUCUCCCCAUUAGACUUACUUGAUUUUGAUUUACCAUCAGAGAUACUAGUUCCCUUGGUUUUAAUGUUACGAUUAUCAAGCAUAUGCCCAUAACCGGUGUCAUCUUUUGAGGGUCCACCCUGAUCCUGUGGCAAAUCAUGUUUCAAUGACACCAUGUUGUUUUCACCAUUCAUGAUGUCAGGUUUUGCAUAUUCAUUAACAGUUUCUCUCUGGGGAGCAUCUUUGCCUGACUUUUGCGUAGGGUAAGGUGUAUCAGGAGGAACCUCAAUCCCUAGUUCCUUUCCCAAAGAUUUCAGAAAGUCACCAGCCCUCAAACGGCUCAAUGUAUUAUUAGCUACUUCAGCUUUUUUUUCUUGAUUCUCCACUUUCAUAAUAUUAUUGUCUUCCACUUCAUCAUCUGAAUCAUCAGAGAAAAUUGCCUGCAAAAAUGAACAUUUUAUGAGUACCCGUGGCUUGGCAGUGAAACAUUGUAUAAGAUAUGCAUUAGAUAAAUGAGCGUAAAAAUUAAUGAAAAUAAAUUUCCAUGUAUGGAUAUAUGCUCAGUUAUGAGAAUCAAACCAAAAUGUUAGUGUCAUAGCCACCCCAAGUUUUUAUGGUCACCAACAAACACGGCAUCAUAAACAUUCUUUAAAAAAAAGGCAUCACAAACAUUUAUGCGAUAAGCUUUAGCAAGGACUAUAGAAAGAAAUGGUUUCACAUGGAAGUAUUAACCAUAAGUAGGAUGAUCAUAGAGGAUUAUAAAUCAGCUGUUACCUUGUAUAGGUCAACCGGCCUUUCAAUAUUUUCAACUUCCACUUCCUCUUCAGUUUCAUUUUCAGCAAUACUUUUAGUUAUGUCUUUAUUAGCAGGUUGUUGCAAGACUGAGAUGUCUUUCUUUGCAGUAACAGGCUCUUCAACUUUAGUACCCUUCACUGAAUCUGAAGUAAAAAUCAAUGUAUCCAUCUUACUCCUAAUCCGUGGAGCAGGUGCAGGCUACAAAGAGCAAAACAUUAUCAAAAUACUGAGCAUAAAGAGUGAAACCAAAUCUAACACAAAAUCAAUAUAAGAAUAAAAAUAUAAAAUAGCAAGCUACUUGAAGUACCUUCCCCAUAUAAGGAUCAACAAGAUCAAAGCGUUUGCAGAGAAGAGGUGAAGGACGCCAUUGAAACUCUUCUCUCUUUGGGCACAAUUUCUUCUCCUUAAAAUCUACAACUGGCUGGUCUUUUGUUGGCUGUUUGCACAGAACACAUCAAAUAACUUACUUUAGUUAAAGCUACAGGGAAAGAAAAAAAAAAGGGACAUCACCACAGUCAUACCUCUACUGUACCAGAUGUAAACUCCAUUACACCACCUGGGAUGAAAUCCAUGGAAGAUGGAGUUGAAAACUUGCUUCCUCUGCUCUGUUUUCGCUUUUCUAUUGCAUCAGCUGCAGCUUCAAAAGAUAGUCUCUCUUGAGCACGAGCAGCUUCUGACAUAUUUCCAGCUAAACUCGAACUUCCAGAGCGUAAUCCACCUUUAUACUUCGCCUUGAUAAACUGCUCAAACCUUUCUUGCUUUGCAGGAUCAUCCUUGAAAGGCUUUUCAAAUUCUGAUAACUCACUCUAGAUUAAAAGAAAAUAAGAAUGAGCAAAGGUCCAAGUUUUUUAGAAGUUAUAAUAGAAGGUUUACAGUCUUGUGAAGGAAUAGGGGUUAUCUCCACAAUGAGAAGUACAAAACCACAUUAGGUUCUAGUGGGUAUUAUGCACAAACCAGCAGAACCCUGAGUCUAAUGUCAUGGACAAUACCCAACAUGUCAAAAGUCUGACCAAUAAAGACGUAAAGAUUCAUGGAAAGGAAGCUAUAAAUCAUGUCAAAGGAGUUCUUUGAGUUAAAGCAACAGCUUGAUCAGUUUUUUUUUUUUUGUUUGUUAUAGAGCUUGAUCAGUUUACCAAACCAGCAGAACAAAAAUAGAAAUAUUCUCUAAUAAUCAAAUAGGAGUUUAGAAAGCAGAAAGAUUGUGUGCUACUUACAAAUGAUUCAGACUUGGUAAAUGUAUCUACAAGAUUAUAUUGGAGCUGAAUAUCUUUAGAAGAAACAGAUGAGGAUGGAUCUUCAAAGGUUUUCUCCAGAGGUUUUUCCCCUAAGAUCUGACCUCGACUCUCAGCUGUCAGCCUUUGCACACCAGGAGGCAUUUUUCCAUCCAACUGCACCCUAGUUUGGUCAUUGCAUUUCUGUUGUGCCUCCCACAGUUUCCUUGCAUAAUAAUCGUGGCCAGUUCCUCCAGAAAGGAAGUUAAACAAUUGAUUUGACCGGUUUUUUUCUCUAGAUAGAUCCUCAUAUAAUUUACCACAUUUAGCCACCAGAUUUGCAACCCCCUCAAUUAAUAGUUUUAAAUUGCUAUCCUCAGGAGGAGGAACAUCUGGUGGAGGGACCUCAUAGUUCUGGCGGUUAAUCUCACGAGGUCCAGAAAAUGCAUGGUGGGGCACAAAAUCCUUGGGAAUCAGAGGAGCCUCAAAUCUGAAUAACAAUUUAUACAAUAGUGAUUAAAAGUAAAACAUAUAAAUACAAAAUAGAAAAAAGAAUUAACAACAUAGCAUAUAUUAUUAAGACAUCAAACCCCAAAAAGUGCCAAAAUAUUAUCCAGAUUUUAGAUCCCUAGACCCCAAGGAUUCAUGUUAACUCAAAUCAGUGCUAUUAGAAAUUAUACACAACUAAUGACAAAGAAUUUUAAAUUGCUUCAGUAACCUUUCCAUUUUAUAGUCGGAAUUGGAUGUCACUUUAAAACCAGGCAGAUUACCAUGCUCCUUCUGAUCUUUCUUUUUCGGAUUUUCUAAGGUCAACACUGAAGGCUCCUCACCCUCUUCUUGAACAUAAGUCUCUUCAAAUUCAUAACCUAAAAUAGAAAAAAGCAUAAGUUACAACAAGCUGACCUUAUGCCCUUUUCACAUUCUAAUGGUAAAAAAUAAAAAUUACCGAAAGCACAGGGCAUAAUUAUUACAACAAGCUGACCUUAUGCCAUUUUUAAGUAAAGGAUAUUUUCGCAUGUGUUAAUGUUUAUCCCAUACAACAAGUAUCUUAUUUAUACAAUGUCACACUAAACACGGCAUAGUUUUAAAAUUUUAUCAGGCAUCAUAUAAUCAAGUAUGAUAUUAUCAUGUCUUAUCCCAUCUUAACAUGAAAGAGUAGGACUACUGACCGGUGGCAUAGACAUCCUCAUCUUCAGCACCAAGUUCCUCAAGUGCACCAAUGCCAAAACCAGGAGCAGCCUUUCCUGCUGAUGAAUUGAAGCAGGAAGUUACGUCAACUUAGGGCAAGAUAUCGUGAGAGCGAAAUACAGAUAUCGACAAAUGGAAAAUAAGACCAUGAAUUAUAAUAAAUUCAGUUUAAAUUUUAAAGCAUCUUACACUUUAAACCAAAAAGACUGUCUCUUGUGGAAAAGUUUUUGCUGUGCCCAGGUCCCGUUUUGCUGGAUAGGCGUGACCUUUUCAUCUCUGAAACAAAAUUAAGGGAAUCUAGUUAAAAGCUAAUUAUCUACAACAACAUCAACAGGAUCCACAUGUAGCUCAAUAGAAAAGCAUACCUCUAAACUCAGGAGCAUGCUUGUAAGGAUCAAAACCUAAUCCAUACAGGUCUUGCUUUGAGUUGAGUACGUAAACCUGAAGAAAAAACACAUGGCCAUUAUUGAUAUAUUAUAGAUAUACUUAUAAGUUACAACCAGCUAAAGUUUCACACAACUGCUAAAUUGAAUGAAAAUAAUUAAGACAAUGAGUGUACAUUGAGGAAUUAGUGCUAUCGAUAAAUUAAUGAUAUCGACUAUUGAAUUGAAAGUUUGUAUAAUGCAUAUCAUGCUUGUAGCAUUAAAAUUAACUUAGGAUUGUGUUGUACUUUUACUUCAUCCAAAUAUCUUCAAAUUAGACUUAGUAAAUAAAAUUAAUCUAUUGAAAUAUCAAUCAGCUGAUGAUGUUCUUGUUUGCAUUUUCCAAAAUCAGGAAUGCAAAAUCAAUAUGACAGAUGCUUAUAAUUAAAUAGUAUAUGUAUAUGUAUAGCUAAUAAUUAAAUAGGAGUAUUAUGUAUAUGUAUAGCUAAUAAAAAUGAUUUUCUAAAGCAGUUGAGUGACAUUUGUAUCAACUGACCCCGCCCUCUUGCAUUUGGCAUUAAAUUCAGUGAAAGUAAGCAAAAUCACUUAUCUAAAAUAUCUGUUGAAACUCAAAGAUUCAAUGCAUAAGAAUCCAACCUCACUGUAAAAAAUGAUUAUAACACUAUUCAACAGAGUUCAGUAAAGAACCAAUCAAAAAUAUUGGUGUGCUUUUAGAUGGGUCAAAAUGAACUCAACCCCCCAGAAGCAAGAUGAAAGAGAUAAAAUGUUGCACCAUACUAUGAGAAGAUUAUUGUAUACGAAAUCUACAUUUACAUAGGAUUUGUAAGGGAAAUUUCUCACCGGUGUGAUCUUAGAAGACUGAGCAUCAUCAUUCACAGACUGCUCAGGGAAGUUUUGAAUAUCAUCCUUGGUACGCUCAGACUCAGUAACCUUCACUUUUGUAUCAUCUGUAGAAAAUGCUAUGAAAGCUCUCCGAGCCUGUCUUCUAGCAUCUACACAAACAGUAUUACAUGAAUAUUGCAGGGAAGCCUACUUUUUUAGAUAGCAAUCUGGCAGUAACAUAAAAAAAUGGAUCCAUUUGGGUGAACAAAGUAAUUCAGAGCUUAUUCAAUAAGCUAGUCUAGGGAAUUUAAUUAAAGAUUUAUUCAUAAUAAGCUAUUUUUGGGAGCUUAUUAAAAUAAAUAGAAAACAGUCAAAAUCGGUUUACACUAAAAUAGAUAAUUUAUGAUAUUUAAAAAUGUGAAUUUUUUAUUGUUCUACUUGGUAAAAAAAGUCAAUAUAAAAAGAACUGACUCAGUUGGGAAUGGAUUCUCUCAAGUGUGAUUUACACUUGAGAGAAUAAAGUGUAAUCUAACACCAUCUAAAUUCAUUUUCUCUAAAUUUUUAUAUGUUUAUCUCUCUUGAUCAAUGGUAACAAACCACACUUUAUUCUCUCAAGUGUAAAUUACACUUGAGAGAAUCCAUUCCCGACUCAGUUAGAUCCAUAAAAAGAAUUGUGUUUCAUAAGAUAAAAAAUUUAAAACAUAAAAAGUUUGCUUGCUGAGAUUCUAAGAAGUGACCCAAGAAAAGUUCCACAUAAGUGUUUAAGAAGCUCUUCCCACCACCUUUUACAAAAGAUCCGUAUAUUCAUUCUUUCUUUUUUUUUUUGGUAUAAUAAGCUCCGUAUAUUCAUUCUAUAAGUUUCUUUUUGUAAGAUUUUUAAAACUGUGUUUGCCCAACUUCUACUUUUAAAGAGAAGAUAAGCUAAAAAAGAGCUGGGCCAAACAUACCUAUUGAUCAUAUCUCCAGGCGAUGUGGGACUAAACAUACCACCACGCCCAGCAUAUUUGAUGAGUUUGUAUCCGAAAGCUGAACAAGUACAAAAUGUAAUGCGAGAAUUUAAAUGACGAAAAUGGCAAUGGGAGAUCAUACCGUAGAGUGCAUCGGUAUGUGAAUCCUUAAUUGAGCGACCACGACUCCAUCCCAUUUUCAACAGCAGUUUUACCCCUUUAAAGCAAAUUGAAAGAGGUAAGGGAUACAAUAUAUUUAAAGAAGAUGCUAAUUGAAUUAAAUUAAGUGGAACAGACCUACAGACUCUGUGGCUGGAAUAACUAAUUCGUCGGGAGCAGGUCCAGGAAUUAUGGAUGGCCUACAAUGCGACAAAAAAAUACAACCAAACUAUGAAUAAGAUAAGUAAUUAGUAAUUACCCAAAGAUGAAUGAUAGCUUGGGUAUUAUUAUUAUUAUAAGAUGCAUUAAGAAAGAUUAUUUAAAUCAAGGAAAUGAAUAAGAAAAUUACAAGAGGAAAACACAAAUGAAAAAGGCAAAUCUCUCCAAUAACUUGAACAUUUACAAGAAGAAUUCCCCCAAUAAAAUUUCCACGGCUCACACAUUGUUUCUUGAUACAAGAGAACCCAAUGGCAUACAAAAUACCAUCAACAAAUGUAAUACUGGAAUAUAAACUUUUAACUAAAACCAGAGAGAGAGAGAGAGAGAGAGAGAGAGAGAGAGAGAGAGAGAUAAACAAUAUUUCUUAGCUUCUCCGUGAGAAGCUUCCUCCCUGUCCAAAGCCGUCACAUUCCCUGUCCCUGGCCGAAGCCUUCAUCUCCCUCUGUCCUGUCUUUGUUUGUUUCUUCUCUUUUCCUCAUUGGCUCCAUGUUAUCUCAACCUCAAGCAUUCUUUUUGGGACUUUGGUAAAACUUUAAAAAACUAACAAUCACUUUUUCUCUUGUAAGCUAAUCUUAAGGUUACUUAUUGGAGCUAGGGGAGGUGAUUACAGGAGAGUAGAGGUUACCACUUUUGAAACUUGCUGGUUUGGACUCUGUGGUACACCACCCAAAAAAUUGAUAAAUGGAUUUUUAGCAUAUAUUUGCUAUGGGCAGAAACAUUUUGGGGGCUCUGAGUAUAAAUUUGGGGAUUUUUUUAACUUCCUUAUUACCUAUUGUUUGUUUAACCUUCAAAAAAGUUGAAAUUAUAAUGCUUUUCCAUAAUAUUAGUUGGUACCCACUGCUCGGAUAGGAUACUAUUAUUUGUAUCUUGGGAGAAGCAUAAAUUUUCAAUAAUAUGUAUUCUCUAUGCAAUAAAUCAUGGAACAAGGUAUCAAAAACCAAAUAUGCAGACAGAAAUAAAAUGCACCUCUGUUUUUGUUCCUUCUCAGCUUGUUUGCGAGCAAUUUCAGCAGCUGUGGAACCAAAUGUGUCAAACUGUGAAGAUGUCCCCAAAAACCGACCUUCUAGAUCCUAAAACACGUGUGAAUGGUAGGUUAGAACACAAGGGGUCAAAAACUUGAUCCACUGACAAAUAUUGAAGCCCCGGCAACCAAUUGAGUAAGUAACCUACUUACACUUGUUUAAUUUAGAAAAGUAAAACAAGCCCUCCCUUCCAAAAUCCCCCUCCCAAACAGACCCUUAGCAAUAGAAGAGUAUAGCCCUAUCCUAGGGGAAUGGCGAAAUAUAUAACCCUCACUACUACAAAUAAUAUCCCCUCUCCCCCACCCCCAAACAAAACAAAAACAGAAAAAUUACAAUAAACUUCCUACUUUAAAUUGUAAUAGAACAGGCGUUCCCUUAUUUGAGAAUUUUAAUAACAAAUAUCCCUUUAUGUUCUUAUUCAAGGGAUGUGCUUCUAACUUUAUCAAUUUUAACUAGGUAUUUGUAAUAUUUCAAAACCUUAAGGAAUUAUAGAUAUCUUAAUCUAAUGUCACUGUUAAUAAAGUAUUUUCAAUGUCAAAAUCGGAUACAACGUAGAAGAAUGUAAAAAGGCACCAAGAAAUCAAAAAAUGAAAAGUAUCUUUUAAUAAAGGACAGUUUAUCAAUAUAUACAGAAAGAUUCUGUACGAAAUAUUUCUAGAGCAAGAAAUUGGAUCUAAGCGUGACUUCUCUACCCUGCAUCUAUACGUCCUUAACACGAGGGUAUUGAAAUAUAUAAAUGCAUAUAAUAUUAAAUAUUAAAACCAUAUACACACUUAUACAUGAACAAUAUUAAUCCACAUACAGCUUUCUCAUCGUCAUCUAGAAAAUUCAAUAUGUUCUGCUCUUUGAAUUCAGCUCUGCUCUUCCUGGACGAUACAAAAGUUUGCGGUGCCCAUCCUACACAUUCAUUUUUAAAGUUAACACUCACCGCAUGCCGAUUGAUAAUCAAAUCCAUAACAGGAGCAUUAUAAUUCCAACAUAAACUUAUACCUUCCUUUGAACCCACUGUAUUAUAGUAACCAGCAGAAUAACCGCCUGUAAAUGCGCCGUGGAAUCUUCUCCUCCCUUCAUCAUCUCUAACCUGGAGACAGUAACAUCAAAAUUUCAGUGAAUUAACAAUACAAUCCGCAUUACACAUUACUUAAGAAUGCCAAAAUAUUCUUUAAUUUAAAAGCGAAAUCAAAAGAAGUUGAAAUUUUACUAUGGUGCAGAAAAAUACAAUAACAUAACAUCAAUAUACACUUCAGUGUUCAGAGUAAAACACAAUUUCUGCGAAAAAAAAGAUGAAGGAGUUAACCCUAACCUCUUGCUUCCAAGCAGGGAGUGUUCGGAGUUGACCGGAGGAUUCAGCAAUGGCUUUCUUUUUACGGCUGAUUGAAUCUUCCUCGCGCUCAAUCGGCGUUCCGAAGAAAACAAAAUCUUCUUCAUCCGAAUCCAUUGAAUUUUCCGAUGAUUGGUGAAAUUUGAAGGUGAAAAUGCCCCAAUCGAAACGGAGCGAAUAGAUGAGUAAUUAGGGUUUUUGAGAAGAUGGUGGUGUUUGGUGCAAAAUCUAUUUGCUAAGCGCGAUUGAUCAUGGCUGUUGGUUGAUGUUGGUGGAGCAGAGAGGUGUUGUUUGGCUGAGAAUAAGGUAAUGGCUAGGGUGAAGUUGUUCAAGUUCACCGUGAACCGUAAUUUGCAGUCGUUUGAUUUAUUUGUUAGAAAUUCGUUAGAAACUCAAUAGAUGAGAUUGAUCGAGAGAAAACCUGCCUAAUUUACAAAAUGGUUCGUUUGGCCUAGCUUUUUUUUAGCUUAUCCAAAUAGCUUAUGUAAUAUAAAUUAAGUUUUAUAUUAUUUUAUAAAUUCACACCAGUGAAAAUUGUAAUUUUAUAAGCUAUUUUAUCAUAAACUACCUUGACAAACUUAUAAUAAUAUAUAUAAAUUGCAUAAGUUGUUUGAAUAAACUCUAAAUAACAGGAAAAAAAAGUCAGGUCAAACGAUACCUUAAUUAUUUCAAAAUUUCCUUAGCAAGAUACAGUACUAUUUAUUUAUUUUUUUACGAUGUUCGCAAUAAGAAUUGAACCUAAGACUUUAUGCAUAUUAUUUCAAUCCUCACCACUAGACCAAAUUUAGUGGCUUAUUUAUUUUAUUUUUUUGGUCAAAACAGAUACUCAUUAAAGAUGCUAGUAAUUUUUUUUAAACCAAAGGUAUCCGUCGCGCGCAACUACAGAUAGUAUUCCACUCAAGGUAACCGAAAAGAGAGUGGAGCUUUGCUCCUUUUCCUAGAGCUCCUUUAUUUUGUGUAAAUUAACUUUGUAUUGACAAUUAAUAAUCUUCGACGAUUAAUAAUCUUCGGUAUGAUAUUAAGAAAGUGAAGUUAAAGGGAUAAUGUGGCAGAAAAUAUAGUGGUCGUACAUUUUUCUUUUUUCUUGAUUAUAUGUCUUGAAUAUAAUAUUUCUCUAGUUCUAUUUUGUCAUGUAUAAUAAUAUUUUAUUAUGUUAGGUCAAACACAACCUAUGGAUUUUUUUCAUAUUUUGUUUUUAUCUUCAAUUGUUUUAAGCAAUCUUCAUUUUUAGAAUGUAUGUCUCACAUAUAUUCGGUUUUUUAAUGAAAUUAGUGUUAUUUUUCAAUUAUUACUAAGGGUGCGUUUGGCCUAACUUUAGAGCUUGCAAUAUAAAUUAAGUUUUAUGCUAUUUUAUAAGUUCAAACUAGUGAAAAUUGUAAUUUUAUAAGCUAUUUUAUCAUAAACUACCUUGACAAACUUAUAAUAAUAUAUAAAAAUUGCAUAAGUUGUUUGCAUAAGCUCUAAAUAAGAGGGAAAAAAACCGGGUCAAACGAUACCUAACUUAAUUGAAUGAGAGUUGAUUCUAUCAUUGACCAAAACCAUAAGAAAUAUUUGGUGUUUUUUUUUGUAAAAGAUGAUUAUAUUUUUUUGGAAUAUACGUUAACUCUUUAAAUAAAUAAAUUUGAAUUAUUUUGAAAGACUAUUUUACUUCCUUUUUGAAAGACUAUUUUACUUCCUUAUUAUAUUUUCUUUUGGAAAAAAAAAAAACUUAAUAGGGGUUUUUUACUAGUUACUUUAAACAAAUAUAAAAGGACUUUUAAACUCACACAUAAAAAAAAAAAUCGGAUCUAACAAUUUCAGAAUUUUUUUUUGUUAAUUAAGCUAAUAUUUUACUAGUUACUGUGAGCAAAUAUAAUAAUACUUAAUUUUUUAAUCAGAUAAAUAUUUUUUAGAUUGCUUCAAAAAAAAAUUUAGAUGAAUAAUCAGCCGAAUUGUUUUUUUGUUAGUAAGCUAAAAUAUUGUUUGCAUUACUCUCGGACAUAUUGUGGACCCGGGAAACACUACGUACGCGCAUGAUACGUGCGCGUGGCUAAACGUAAUUGGUAAACGCGUUUUGCCCUAAUCGUAUGCCAUCAACAACUGCUUCUCUAUUCCUUCUCACUGAAUAACCUUCUUCCUAUAUCAACAACAACCAUGUCUUCCCUUCUCCUCCACAGCAACUUCCAUCUUCAAUCGGUAAUUUCUCUUUUCCUUCAUUCUCUUCAGAUCUGCAAUUUCAUUCUCGCUAUUUUUUUUCCCGAUUUUUUAAUAUUUUUUUUGAAUUUUUUCAUGUUUUAGGUUCAAUCAUGGAUCCCAUGGAUAUCGUCGGAAAAUCGAAGGAAGAUGCUUCGCUUCCUAAAGGUUUUUUUCGAUUAUUAUAUUUUAUAAUUUUUUUGGUGAAUUUGAUUCGAUUGAAUAGUUUUUGUGUAGUGUAUAUUCGUUUCGAGUUUAUUGAAAUUAAUUUGUUAUCGGCGUUGAGAAAUUUGUUUCUCUCGUAAUUUGGAUUAUGAUGUAAUUAGAUGAUGAUAUUUGGAAAAUCAGAUUAUUAAUAUACGUUUUAGGUUUUCAUUACAGUAUAGCCCUAAUGUUAAUGUGAAAAAGCUGAAUUUGAAUUUUUAACAAACCUAAUGACCUGAUUAAGCUGUUUUUAAAUUGUAAUCCUUGUGAAAUUAUGUGCCUGGUUGACGACUGGACUUGAGCAAUUCAUCGGAGUUUAUAUCAUAUAGUAUAUGAUUAUAUUUCAAAAUAUGGAUAAAUGUUUUACUUAGCUUCUUGGAGCUGCAUGGAUUUUAUAAAUGUUAUAAUUCAGAGGAGUAUUGUCAUCUUGUCAAAAUUUACCUUUUACUAAUGUUUACUAAUGGUUGUCGUAAGACACUGGCGGAUGAUUUUUUAAAUAGGUUUAAUUGAUUAAGAGUAGAAUGUAAUAAAUAAUGGAAUGUGAUUCCUUACGUUUUGGCAGUAUUUAGUUCUCAAUAUUUUAUUUGAUUCUAACGCAUAAUUUAUUGUCGCUUACUAAAUCUCUGAUUAUAUGGCAGCAACAAUGACAAAAAUAAUUAAAGAGAUGUUACCUCCAGAUGUACGUGUUGCAAGAGACACCCAAGAUCUAUUGAUUGAGUGCUGUGUAGGUCAGAAUUUCAAAAUCUAUGACAAUUUUAUUCUCGCUAUACUGUGUUUGUUUAUUGAGUUAAUUCUUUUAUUUCAGACUUUCUUUAUGUAAAUUUAUUGAGUCAAUUCUUCUGUUUAGUUAUCUAAACUCUAGUGUUUAUCUCGGUUUUACAAUCUUUCCAUGGGUUAUGAUAAAUUAAAAUAAAAGGGUCAUCUUGAACUAGUGAUAUUUGUUUAUUAUUUCUCUUUUGCUGCACAAUUUGUUAAUGGUGCAUGGUUCUGCUAUCAUUUUUCAUCUAAUUUAGAUUCUAAUAUGAGGAAUAGUGACCCAACCAUAACAUAUUAUAUGGUCCAUACAGUUUAAUAGUAUCUUUGGUGAUAACUUUUUUUUUUCUGAAAUGGCAAAACCUAUUAAUAGAGGACCAAAGAUCUUUGGUGAUAACUGAUAAGCACAUUUAUACUUGCUGGCUAGUUUUUAUAUUUCAUCAUGUCCUAGUGACAUUGUUUGCUUGUGUAUGUAUACCACAGGAUACAAUUUUUUUAUAUAUUUCAAUUUGUGAUCUAUAUUUUUUUGGCAGUUUAGGUUUAUUAGAUUACAUUGUUCAUUUUCUGCUUUAUAUUUCGUAAUUUACUCUUUAUACUGAGAAAAUUUUGUUGGUUGAUUCUUUAUUGUAGAGUUUAUAAAUCUCAUCUCAUCAGAGUCCAAUGAAGUAUGUAGUAGGGAGGACAAACGAACUAUUGCACCUGAGCACGUAUUGAAGGCUCUACAGGUAUUUGUCCACUUUUGUAAAUCUAAAUUUCUGCAUCCAGUUCUUGUCCAAUAUUACAAUUAUUUUGGGCACUCUUAUGUUUGGCAAAAGUUCUUGAUGAUUCGGUGUAAGCAAGCUAUGUUUUAGGAUUUUGUUUAGUUAUUAAUUAUUAGUUAAUUAGAAUUAGUAAUGUUGUCUUCAUUCCUCUCUUUACCGAGACAGGCACGAAAUGCCUUCGUAGCCUAAAUUGAAACCACGUUCAAUUUUUUUGUUUAUUAUUUUUAUCUACCAUGAGAGUUGAGCCGAACUUCCCAACAUCAGAAAUUUAAUUACUCGAUUCUUGAUUAGGCAGUCGUUUGUUGAUUAAAGAUUUAUUACUUGUCGAGAUAUUACCUUGUCCUGAAGCAUAUAAUAGCCGUUGGCCCAUUUUUUAGUUAAGGUCAUACUCUGUUUUCUUGCAACUAGUGGUAGUAAAUCUUGGCAAUAUGUAUCUUUCCUGCUUUACAUACACAUUUUAGCUUUUAGGAAUGUCUCAAUUAUAAAAUAUAAAAUACAGCAUAUAAAAUAUGUUGUCAAAAGUGGGCUCAUUGUAUGCUUUUAAAUAUGCCUGGUAUAUUUUUGUUUAUUGAUUUGUACAUCUUUUCCCAGGUGCUUGGAUUUAGUGAUUACAUUGAAGAAGUUUGUGCAGCAUACGAACAGCACAAGCUGGAGACCAUGGUAAAUUUUGAAUAUGAAUCUCCCGCAUGCAUGCUUAAUUCUAGAGUAGUAUCACACAAAUCCGCAUAUCACACAUUUUCCCCCCAAAUGGACGAUGAUUUGCUACCAAAACAAUUGAUAGUGUAGUGUACUCCCUAAAUGUAGUUGUUUAUAUCUUGGACAAUCUUAUUGAAUGGGCUCUAUUCUAAUAAAGAAGCCCCAAACCCCUCCAGUUCCGGUCUAAUCAAAACCAUAGAGAGACAUGAGAUAUACUUUGGUUGUAAAAAUCAAAAUCUCCUACAAAACUCAUGGCAGUUAUUAUUGUGCUGUGCCUGUUGAAUUUUUAAACUUUCCGAUCGAUUAUCAGUGAAUAGGUUAUGACGUGCUGUGCAAAUGAUGAUUUUUUGCUCAUACACGAGAUAACCCAAAAAAUAGAAGGAAAAAAUAAAUAAUCCAUAUCCAUCUGGGGUUUAUUUGAGUUCAUGAGUGUUCUGAAUUUCAUUACAUGAAUGCUCAUUGUGGCUAUUGAGAGACCAGAGGGUCUAUAAAUAUUGAUCAGUUGUUAAAUCAAUUAUUACCAUUGCAUAUAAAUUUACUUUUCAAAUGAGAAACUAGUUUCUGAUAGAUAAAUUGUGUUAUUCCAGCAGGACUCUUUAAAAGGCGGUAAAUGGAGCAAUGCAGCUGAAAUGACCGAGGAAGAAGCAUUAGCGGAACAACAAAGGAUGUUUGCAGAGGCACGUGCUAGAAUGAACGGUGGGGCCAUUGCUUCGAAGCAGCCAGAUGGUGACCAAAAUUUAGAUAGCUAACUUUAGGGCCUUAGUUACAUUGAAGCAUAGGAACACCUCUGACUCCUCCUGUGUGCUUUCCUAUGAGCUCCAUUGUGUACAAAAAUCAUUCACUAGUUUGCUGGCCAAUGUGGAUGUGCUCACCAUUUGUAUUCUAUCGAUGAAUCCAUAUUUGUAAGUCAAUGUAAUUAUUGAGAGUUCAUGAAAAUCCUCUUUCUGUUUAGAAUCACUAAUUUUAUUUCUUUUCUUUUUGUAUCUUCUACACACUAACAGAUCCUAGCAUGGUUAGUAACAACAAAUAAUUGAUUCUAGAAUCCAGUGUUCUGUUUAUUUAUGUUGCAUUCAUUAGUGCGGAAAAUCUCGAAAAAUAGCUCGAGUUGAAUGAUCAUAACUUCAAAUUCCUUUGCCAUCUAUCUGUGGUAUAUUAGUGAAUUAACUCAUCAUAUUAUGAGAUAAAUGUGUGUUGUUAACAGAAAUGUGUUGUACAUGCAUCCCUUUCAAGUUAUCCUAAAAAAAAGUCUCUAUUAACCUAAAUCUAAAUAAACCACACUGCCUCACAGUCACAGAUUGAUUAUAUUGGGAUAAAAGGGUACAUGAAAACACUAUUGAGGAUAAAAGCCAAUUUUUACUUAUCAGCUUAAUAGGAUUGAAUACUUUGUGGGGAUAACCCUAAGUCCCUACCUAUACUACAAUGAAAUGUCAGUUCGUAGAUAUUUGUAAUGUAGUCUCUAUAGCCAACAUAAGGCAUGAAAAUUCAGUAAUCCUUAAGCUGAUGGGACCUUGUGCGCCUUUGAAGUUUGAACUACAAGACUGUAUAUGGAGCAGAAGAGUGUACAUAGUGGCACGUCAGCUUUCAACAGUGACGGCUUUGUGUUUUGUUCUUUUUUGCUUUAACAUCUUUUAAUCUUUUACUGUUUUUGAGCACCAAGUCAAAAAGAGUUUAUUCAAGCACAACAGCACAAAAACUCUUUGUAAUUGCUUUUCUGCCUAGAAUUCUCCAAUUUCACUGGAAUAUAUAUUUUACUUGUAGAGAAAUCUGAGAAUUAGAGCAAUCACCAAAAGUCUCUACCACACAAGAAAGAGGCCUGAAUUGUGUGUCGUAAAAAUAACACACAGUUUUAAGUUACGGUCAAUGAUUGAAAAUUAGACAGUUCAAAUUACGUUUUAACAAAAUCAACUAAACUAAGCUCACAGCUCCGAUUCGAUCGUUAAUUUUAAAUCAGACAAUUAAGACGAGUAAAUGCGAAAACCGCCUCAAAUCCCAAUCCAAGUACAGAAGAAAGCGAAAUAACAAACACAUUGUCUCCUCUCAGAUUCCAUUCUUUUCUAAUAAAAAAUUGCACUCUAUCCCAUUUUUUCUCUUUCUGAUUUCCCAUAUCAGACUGUGGGACUGCCUAUGUUUCUUUUGUCAGGAUUCUCUUACACUCACUCACUAUAUUAAUCAAAAGUGACACACUACAAUGAAGAUAUCUAGAUUUAGCAAAGAACCAAUUAAUUCUCAAUUACGGUAAAUCAUAAAUAGACCCCAACAAAACAAAAAGAAAAAACAAAACCAGCUUCAUACUCUCUCUUGUUUCUCUGUCUCUCUUUAAAGCUUUGUUUUUUCCCUUUCUCUGAAAAUGAAAACACUAAUCAUGGAAGAAACAAACACAACCUCAAACACAAACACAACCUCAAUUCCUCAAGACCCAUCUUCCAAAAGACACUUCCAUUGGACCAACAAGGUUGGAAAUGAAGACCCAGAAGAAGUUCCAACCACCAUGUCCAAAAUCAUAGAAGAACAAAACACCAAAAAAAAUGAUGAAAAAGCUGUUUCAGGACAUGCAGCAACUAGGAAAAAGCUACAAACCGUAGCAAUUUCAAGGCUACGUUCUGUUCUUACAGUAUUCAACAAAAACCGUUCAAAUCUACCUUCUGGUCUUGGUUCAAGAGUUGUUGGAACACUUUUUGGAUAUCGUCGUGGCCAUGUUCAUUUUGCUUUUCAGAAAGAUCCCAUUUCACAACCAGCUUUUUUGAUUGAGCUUGCAACACCAAUAAGUGGUUUGGUUCGUGAAAUGGCUUCUGGGUUGGUUAGAAUUGCUCUUGAAUGUGAUAAAGUGAAUAAGGAGAAAGAGAAAGAAACUGAGAAGAAAAGUUUAAGAUUGUUACAAGAACCACUUUGGAGGACUUAUUGUAAUGGAAAAAAGUGUGGAUUUGCUAAUAGAAGAGAAUGUGGGGAAAAAGAUUGGGAAAUUUUGAAAGCUGUUGAGCCAAUUUCAAUGGGUGCUGGUGUUUUGCCAAGUGCUGAAGCUGGUUGUUCUGAUGGUGAAGUUAUGUAUAUGAGAGCUAGGUUUGAGAGAAUUGUUGGGUCUAGAGAUUCUGAAGCUUUCUAUAUGAUGAAUCCUGAUAGCAAUGGUGCACCUGAGCUUAGUGUUUAUUUGCUUAGAGUUUAGUUUAGUUUCUUAGCAGUAUUAACAUCUUUAAAAGCUUUGUUAAUUACUGUUUAGUACUUUAGUUAAUACUUUUAUUUUUUCCCUUUUUAGUUUUUGUUCUUGGUAAACUUAUGCAUGUUUGGAAUCCCAGUAAGUCUGGCAAAAUCACAAUAGCGUCGUGAUUUCGUAGGUAGCUUUUGUCAAAAUUACGGAGGCACGUUGUGAUUCUGACAAACUCUUCAUUGUCAAAAUUACCGUGGCACAUUGUGAUUCUGGCAAACUCGGAGUUAAUCCAACCACGCGCUUGGAAUGGAAUACUAGGUUAUUCAUGUUCAACUUGCUUAGUUCUUCAAUCAUGAAAAUGGAGGCCUAGUUUAGGUAUUUUCUUUUCUUUCCUUCUCUUCUUCCUAGAGGUUGAAGAAGUGGGGUUAAUGAUCUUUUUUUUAGGGUAGGGAGAAAGGGGUGAAAUUGUGGGUUAUCAAUACUUUACAGCUUGGUUGGUGGGGUGGGUAAUGAAAGGUGUAUAUGUAUAGUUUUCUUUCUAAUCCUUUUGAUUAGUGAUAUGAAAUGGAUGUUAAUGCAAAUCAUGAUUGUGUUCACAUUUUUCAUGUGGUUUAAUUAACUUUAGCAAUUUCAUUAUGGCAUUCUUAUUUAAUUUCAAAGUGAUUGAUUUUCUUCUGUGCAGUGUGCCCCUUCAUGGUUUCUUUUUAUUCAUUCCAUUAUGUGCCUAUUGGCUUGAUGAUUCAACUCAUUUCUCACAAUUUAAGUGCUUCUUGAACCAAUGAAUAUUAAAAAGUAUGCUGCUAGUAUUGUGGGUUCAUAUUGGUAAUUCCAUAACCAUUGCUCUCUUAUGGACAUGACUUGUUUGAAUUGUGGGUUCAUAUUGGUAAUUCCAUAACCAUUGCUCUCUUAUGGACAUGACUUGUUUGAAUUGACUUAGUUAAGUUUAUUUAGUGGCAUAAACAUUUGCGAUAUUGUUUGGAAGAGUUUAUCAAAACAACUAGGUCUGUUUGGUUAAACAACUUAUUAUGAUAAGUGUUUAUAUAUAUAAGGUUACAAAAGUUAUUUUAUAGCAAAAGAUAAAAUAAAGAUAAAUUGCAUUUAUAUAUACUACGAGCUAUUUUUAUAAGCUAUAUUUGAAGAACUUAUAAAACUUUAAGAAUUCUCAUAAGUUGUUUUUAUAAGUUCUCUCAAACAGUCUCACAAAAUUUAUUCCGGUAAAUAAGUUGUUUUCAGCUUAUUUUCAUAAGCUCGCCAUGAUAACUUAUGAAAAAAACUUAUAAAUUAUACAAAAAUAAUUUCAGUUUUACAUUGUUAUAUAAAUAACUUAUAGAUAAGCAUUUACUUGUUUUCAACUUUUCAUAAAACCAUGCAAAAGACUUUAUUUCAUUUGGAUUCAUUCUGUAAAUUCUACUCUUACAGAUUAUACAAAUGAUACUUUCUUUACUUUUGUAUAGAUGAAGAUUGCCAUAUCAGAAUCUAUAUCCUCCCCCCUCCAUUUCUGUGUCUGCUUAAUCAUAACUUCAUUAUUAUUUGAUUUAGUAUACACUGCCAUUUGUUUCCUUCUUAUGCUAUUUUUUCCUAUUUUUUGGUUAGAUUCCUUCAUCAACAUGCUAUUUUAAUUCAACAAGAUUUCAAUAUUCGGUCUAAAAGUUAAGUUAAGAUUAUUCCAAUCAUUGCUUCAUAUGCAUUAUUUUGUUUGUGAAGUGAUCCCAAGAAUUUUUUGUUAGUGCCUAAUCAUGAAAACAAUCAAAAGCAAUAGUAUAAGAAAAGAAAAAGAAAAUCUAUAUCAAGUUACAAACAAUCUGGUAGCAGGUGCUUCAUCUUUUUUCUUCCCUUUUUCUUUGUUUAUAUACACUCCACCAUUUGCUUUUUCUUUUGUUGACUGCUUUUCUUUUGUUGGCCUAAUUCAAAUAUGUUAUAUUCUCACUUGUUUGUGACUCAUAGAAAUUUGUGCAGCAUGAAAGUGUAGACUUUAGCCCACCACUAUAUUAUACCUUGAGUCUAGCAUAAGAGAUUAGUCCGAGAUUAGAUUAGUCUCACUGUGACGAACUGCGUUCAAAUGUCUUUUGUAUUGAGAGAUAAACAUGUUUAGUGUCCGAGUAUUACUCUUUGAAGAAGAUUGUGAGUCGGUGACAUGUGAUUUCAUCCAAGAAAACCACGAUCAUCAACAUAUAUGACCACUAAUUAAUCUAAUGUCUUAAAAAUCGAAUCGGAUGGUUAAACCUUAAAUGACAUUUACUAUGGUUUGAUUAUUUUGGUGGUUCAAUUGUGGUUUCGUCCCGUUUGAUCCUAUUCGAGCAGUUUAAAAUAGCUGAAUCAUUACUCAGAGGUCUCAUUGAUUUGAUAUUAUGUACAAAAAAGAAAAAAUCUUUUACCUGGAUAACUUGAUUAUGCUAGUGGAGCCCCUUUUAACUUUCCUUUUCCUAGUUUUCAGGCUUUCAAAGUACCCUACAACUUACUAGAGAAAAGAUUGAAGAUGAGGAUAUGAGCCUUACAGCUAGGACUAUAAAUUGUUAACAUCACUUUCACCAAAACCAAAGUAGUUUAUUUAUUUUUUUAUAUAAAGAAAAUCAUUUAAUCACCAUUCUUCCAAAAUGAGUACUAAAAACUAAAUGCUUCACUUAAAGUUGUGGCACUGAUUUAUAUCAUUAUUGUUCUAAUAAAUGCACCAAGAACUCAACCCACACCACCAUUAAGAAAAGAUACAGAUAUGAGAUGAAAGAGUGCAUUAAGGUUGUCUAUGAUACAUCUCCAUAAGUCAUUACCAAGUCCAAUUGGAUACAUAUUUUACAUUUUUAAUAGUAGGGUUGUGUGGCCCUUCAUUCUCAUCAAAACCAAUUAAUAAGUUUAGUGAUAACUAUUUAAUUUAUGUGUGAUCUACCAUUGAUGUGUGAGUGUGGAGCUCCUUGCCAAUUAUAAAUAUACUAACUAAACUAUAAUUGAAGAGUCAUUUCAGGUUGAUGCUAUUGUAGUUAGUUUUUGUAUGUUAAUGUUUGGUAGGGCAGGGUGGACUUUUCUCCUACCAUGUUUGAACUUGAGUGACUAACAACAUUUUUGGGUGCAAACCAUAUCAUCAAGUCUCAAAAUGCAAUUUUAUGAAUUUUGAAAAUCAUUAGAAGCACAAUUACUUUCUUUUUCUUUUGUUUUUUCAUACAAAAUUUAGGGGUUUAAAGGUGGUUCUCAUGGAAGCAAAACAACUCCAUCUAGCUUUUGGUUUGAGUGGAUAAAAUUCAAACAUAGAUUAUUUUAUUUGAAAUGUAAUCCUAACCAAAUCAAAUUUACAAAUCAAGUACUCUAAAAUAAAAUAAUCAAUUUAUUGGUGAGGAUUCUUGUCACUUAAGCAAGGGCCAACUCAUUUGGAUUCGUGGUAGCCAACUCAUUAUCGUCUUCCAUUGUGGUUUUCACCGUGAAAACUAAAAGCUCUAAUCCAUAGUUUCUUCAACCUCACAUAGAGUUUCCACCACGAAAUCGCCACCUACACCGCAGUUACAGACAUUAGACUGAGUUCCUUUACAUUUUUAUAAAGAAUUGAUUUCUAUUGACUAGGUUGCAGGAUACUUUGUGUGUAAAACACGAGCCAAAUUUAUAUUAUAAAUCAAACAUAUAGAAUAAAGUCUUGAAAAUGUUUAUCCAAAUGACAAUUUCUUUACAAGUAAGUUUAAAUUCAUCCUUACAUGAUAUAAGUAAUUCUAGCAAUAGCAUAAUUUAAACUGUUUGCCUGCAACAAUCAGUAACUCAACCACUAUUUGGAAGAUGUAUCUGCCACAAAUGUAUUAAGGUUGAUUUUAUCCAACUUCUCUUUUCAUUAUACAUCAUUUUCUAAGCUGAUUAGAUUAGAUGUUCAAGUCUCCAUCACGCAUGUAGGUUACGCGGGUGACUGCAAAAAUACCGACAGAGUAUAUUGAUAUUGAUAGGUCUUUUCAUAUGGCAGCAAUUUAUUUAAAAUUAAAUUAGUGUUUGAAAUGGUGAAAACUUAUUCACGGUUCAAUAAUAUGGACAUAAAAUAUCAAGUGAAAAUUGACAUUAAAAUUCUGAAUAAAUGAAGUACAUGGGUUUGGUAAAAAUAAAAUAAAAUGAAGUACAUAAUAUAUCAAGGCAAUCACAAAUUUACACAACCAUUGCAUUCAGUUUUCUGAUGCUGUAAUAACUAAAAAUGCAUCUAUCUAUGUUGUAAAAAUCUAUGAAUUUACAUUUACGCUAAAUCGUUUGGAGUUCUCCCCAAAAGCUUCAAUAGCAAGGAUACUCUGGUUUGCAACUGACUGCACUAUUAUCCUUUGUGCAGAGGCAUAAAAGAUGGCCACAAAGGAGGAGCUUUUAUCAAGCGUGCAAUAAUCUCGAUAUCAUACCGAGAUAUUCUGGCAAUUUCAUCUUGCAAUCCUUCAUAUAUCACUCUUAACUAUUGGCUUGUUGACGAGCAAAACCAGGCUGAAAAAAUGGGAAUUAAAAACAUGGUUAACUAGCUGCUUCAGUUACAUAAAUAGAUGAAAAGGGUAAGUAAGAAGGACAGAGGAAUGAAUUAAGGAUAAAUUUACCUGAAGAAGCAUGGAUGGAGGAGGUGCUGUAUGUUCUGAAAGGACAUGGCUUCUAGUUUUUCUCCCAUUUAACGUAGUAACUGAUGGACUAUUAUUUGUGGUUAUGUCCCAAAAGCUUCGUUUUUUCGCAGUUGGAGCCGGUGAUCGAAGACGAGGAUGACUCUUCAAUUCACCAUUCUUUGGCUCCUUUUCUUGUAGGCUAGCAGCUCCGGUUACCACUCUCUUCCCCACUUCACCGUUUGUUAAUGCUUGUUUUCCACACUUUUGAGUAAGCUGGCGAAUGACAUCAUCUUUCUGCUUUAGCUGCAAGCUAUGAUCUUUCUUCAUUCUCUCUAUCUCAGCCUCAAGUGCUUUCACUGUCCGUUGUAGUGUCCUCACAGCUAACUCAGCUCCUUUCUUCUUGGUUUCUGGAGUGAAACAAGUUCCAGCCAAGAAAGAGGAUCUAGUCCUUCGUUUUUCACUUGGUUGGGCAGAACUUGGAGUAGUAGAUAAAGUUGCAGCGGAAGAUGGUGGGGUUAAAGAGGAAUGUGAAGCUAAAGACUGUGCUUCUAGAGUCAAGAGCUUCUGUUGUUGCCGUGCUAGCUGCAUUCUUAUUUCACGAUUCUCCUUUUGUAGCUCAAGUACCAGCUUGGCCUGGUCAGAUUCUGUCUCAGGCAUUGGCAAUUGGUCCUCAUUGGUAUCGCUCACCUGUAUCCACACAAAGAACAAAUUACAUUAUUCAACUUCAUCACCAAAGCAUGCCAAGUUUAUGCAUCAAGGCCUUUGACAUUUUGAAGAUAAAAUAUUAACUUGUUAUGGUAUGAAAAUUCAACCUUUAGCCGAAUCUCUUUGGCUCUAUCGGCCCAAUGAACGGUGUUCUGAGUUUCACCAAAUGAGAGGCUACUUGGACUUAUGUUUGCAAUCAUGACAGUAUUGCAAGUUCCUCCAAGUGAAUCCUUGAGAAGUUGAGUGAGUUUUGAAUUUCGAUACGGUAUGUGUUUCUUGCCUUCUACAAGAGCAUUGAUGCAGCUGCUGAGUGCUAGAAGAGACCGGUUUAUAUUGGCACCCUCAAGAGAUCUAAGUGUUCUUUGAUCUGUAGCAAGAGCUCUCUCUGACCCUGCAAGAUCAAUUAAUGAGAGUUUGCCCACUCGGUUAACAAUAUUCAUUGUUGCAGCAUCUCUAACUCGGUAUUCAACCAUAACCUAGAUGUAACAAAACAAUGUGCAUUUGGUUAGUAACAAGAGCCUGGCACAACUCACGAUCACAACAUUAAAUAGAUCUUUUUCCUCUCAAAAUCCUUAAUGAUUCACCUGCAAAAUUGCAUGGGAACGUGAAGAUGUUUCAUUUGCACGAGUUGGUUCUGUGGUUCGGCUCCGAUUUCCUUGUUGAAGCAAUGCCAUCACCUGAAGCAACCAGAGUAAAGAAAAGGUAAAACUUGCAAAAUCAAGGUUCAAAAUUGGAAACAUCCUUCUAAAGGUAUACUCUUUCUAAAAAGGAUCAGAAUAUUAAUUACCUCAUCUGCAGAAGAAGCUCUAUAUUGUGUAAGACCAGCUGCCACGAUGCCCUAUAUAACACACGGGCCGUUCAUUAGAUAUAUAUCUUUCAAAAUUACAACUUCAAAUAUUAUGCAACUUUGUCACAUAUUCCUGGAUUAAAUUGCACCGAGUUACAUGAUCUUCAGGUGCAUUUUAAUAGAUAAGAAGGUGAACCUGUUUAUCUUCUCUAAGGACUAAAGGCCUUCCAGGGCAAAUCAAAUCUUUGACAGUUUCAUUGUAAACCUCAAGAUAGGAAAGAUGAACCACAUGGCUUCCAUCACAACUUCUCUGCCUGAUUUUACUGAAAAGAUCCUUAAUAGCCAAAACCAUCACCCCUGGAUUCUCCACAGUACCAAGCAUUGUAUAGGUUUUUCCAGCUCCCGUGGCACCAUAACAGAAAACCGAUCCAUUCCUCCCCUGCAGAACCGCUUCCACAAGUUCCGAGGUUCUGAAAACAAGCCGAAAUCAAAUGUAUAUACAACAUACCCCUAAUGACACAGCAUCAUAGACUAUGAAUACAUUAUCAAUAUCAAGGAUACCCUUAUCAACUAUAUCAUCAGAAAUUCAGCAUCAUAGACUAUGAAUACAUUAUCAAUAUCAAGGAUACCCUUAUCAACUAUAUCAUCAGAAAAAGAAAAAAAAACUAUAUCAUCAGAAAUUCAGCAUCAUAAAUAGAAACUAUGAUCAGUAUCAUAAAUAGAAACUAUAUGAUCAGUAUCAUAAAUAGAAACUAUACAAUCAGCAUCAUGAAUAGAAACUAUAUUAUCAGCUUCAUAAAUAGAAACUAUAUGAUCACUGAUUAGCAUUAAGGAUACUCUUAUCAACAAUGUUAAGAACAAAGCAUCAUGAAUAGAAACCAAGUAAUUGGGCUCAAGUGGUUAAUGAGCUCCCCUAGGAGGAAUCAUUCGGGAGAACCCAAGUUCAAUUCCUGAUGGGAACAAUUCUUGGAAAUAAUCAGAGGCCCCCUUCCCCCGGGAGUUAGAGGGUUAAUACCGGAAUAAAAAUAAUUUGCAUAAUUCAGCUUUCCAUGUAUAAGUGGUGAGUUGACAUCAGAUUUCCUUAACGAAUAAACAAUACAAUUUUGGAUAUUGUAGCUAAGAUUAGAUAAUUUAGAUCUGAAAUUAACAAAAAUACAUCAUAAAAUUAAAUUUUCUCAACAAAAUUGGUUACUCACAUAACUAAAAUGAUUGAUCCAAAACAACUAAUACGAUUUAACAAAAUGCCUAUUCAUUAAUUAACUCCAAAUUUAGAAAUAAAACAAGAGAAUAAUGAACUAACGUGGUGGAAUAAACUUGCUCCUGAGUUGCCGAAUCAGUAAAAGAAGCAUCAAAAGUAAAAUGUCGUCCCUUAACCCUAUUAAGUCUGAGAUAAUCAUUUUCAUUCGCAAACUCCGUUAGAUAAACGUCACGGUUAUUAACGAUUCUCACACAGCACCGUGAACUCAAUUCCUUCUCCUUCUUGUUCAUCGGUCUAACCCUAACAAACACCAUAAUCCUGCUCACACAUUUCCCUAACUCUUCCUCUUUCCCCUUCCCCGUCGCCGCCGGCAUCGACAGUCUCCGAGCAACGGCGGCAGAAUUCAAAUUUUUAGGUGGAACUGAAUUUGUUGCUGUUGAUGAAACUUUUCUUGGAUAGGUAAAUCCGACAAUUCGAUCGGAUCCAGCGAUGAGAUUAUGAUUUUCUUUGGUGUCAUCGUUGAUUGAUGAAGGUGGUUGAGGUAAGACGAAGGUUUUUGUGACGGUUGAUGAGUUAGGGUUUGUAGUGAUUGAGUUUCUGUCACGCAUGGCGGUGAGAGAUUUAGAAGCUUGUUUUUGUUGUUCAUAUAAGAGAGUGAGGGUUUUGAGUUUUUCUUUGAGGCCAUGGUGAGGGUUUAGCAUUGAUGGAUGAUUUAAGUCAUUUUGUGUAGUGAUUUUAGAUCGAGUUGAAACAGGCAUAUUUGAGAAUCGAUUAUUGGAAAUGGUGUUUUAUUAAUUAUCCAAACAUGGUGUAAGAAGGAAAGAAGAAGAAGAAGAUGAAGGAGUAGAAAGAAAGAAAGAGUGUUUGUUAUUGGUGAGUGAAUGUGAGACGUUGGAUUGAUUAGCUUAGGAGGGAAAUGGACGGAGGAGAGUGGUGGUAGGAGUGAAGUGUGAGAUUUGAAUGAUGCACUGAAAGUGUGAGAUGCAACGGUCAAAUGAAUCUGAGGUUUGAAACGGUUACUGAGCUUUUCUUUCUUUCUUUCUUCUCUUCUGUUGUGUUGUGCUGUGUGAGUGAGUGAGUGUGUGGUCCUACAAAAAUAUCUCAACGCACGAGAAUACCCUGUUUCACAUAAAUGAAGAAUUCAUUGUCAUCAAUGUUAUUCACCACCAAAUAUAUUCUAAGGAACGAUUUGCUUCAAGUAGUAAGGGUCUUGAUUGUUUUAAACAUAUGGUUAGGGUUUGAUUUCUGACUCAUGUGUAUGAAGAAAAUUCGAUUGGGAUGGGAGAAGCCACAUUGUAUGCCACACAGGUUUCCCGAUGGAGAUUAGUAAUGUUAACGGCGAUGAAAACUUCGUAUUAAUAUCAUCGUAACCCCAAAAUAACAAGAUGAAUUUUUAUUGAGCUGAAAUUCGGUUGGUCAAAAUAAAUCUGAUAAAUAGUUGUUCCAUUUAAAAAUUAAAUUUGAGUUAACGAUUCGUAUUUUAGUGAAAUUUAUUAAUCACUCGAGUUCAAAUUCUAUUAUUAUUUUUUAUUAUUUAAUGAGACUAACGAUGGGACAUUCCAAUUUUCUCAUUUACAAAUUAAAUAUUACUUGUAUUGUUUUGUUUGUGAGUGUUUGAAGUUAUUAACUUAUUAUAAAUUCUUAUGAUUGAUGACAUUAUUUGUUAGAAGUAAAAAUCAUAAUUCUUUUCGUUUUUACGGCUAAAAUUUUAAUAUAAUCGACGUUAAUUCAAUAUGAAAUACAUCUUUAUUUUUCGUUGUUUUAACUUUUAAUUGAUUGAUGUCGAUUGAAUUAUUAUCUUAAUCGUAGAAACAAAAAUGACUAUUAACUUAUACUUUCAACCACCGAAGACAUAUCUCAUUGUUAAAAUUUUAAAUAUUCUUUAAAUAGUGGACCAGAAUAUAUCAUGAUUCAUAUUAACAUUUACCUUAUUUUACCUAAUUUUUUAGAGAACAAAAUGGUGUUUAAAAUGCUACCAGCAAUGCACGUCACAGUUGCAUGGUUGUUGUCAUGUUAAAAGCUACAUAUAAAAAAAGAAUAAUAGAUCCUUUCGUGCCUUUUUUAUUAAUGCAUUUUUCUUUCUAAUUUAAUGAUGGAUAAAUUACAAAAAGCACAAAUGUAUUUAAGAAGAGAUAAAAAAAAUGAAUGAUUAAAAUGACCGCAUAUGACCAACAUAAAAAAAAAAUAAAUAAAUAAAAAUAAAAAAGAAGAGAGGAUCCAUAUCCCAUUGCUACCAUGUCAAAAUCCACGUUAUAAUCAAUACUUGGCAAUAAAUUAUUAAUGUAUUUUUGUUGUUGAAAGAAAACCAAUGCAUCAAAGGGCAAAAUAUUAGAUAAAACAAAAUAAUAAAACAAUCGAGGAGGUAUAAAUUUAUAUCAAAAUUUUGACAAAAUUUAAAAAAGAUGAUAAAAACUCACCUCCUAUUAAAAUGAUAAAUUUUAAAGGAUUAGAGAUAGUUUAAAAUUUUAUAAGAUUAAAGAUAUUUAAAUUUACUCUAAAUAAAUUUUAUAAGAUUAAAGAUAUUUAAAUUUAAUAUAAAUUAUACUAGUUGAUUUAUUCCAACACUCUUUUUUGUUACAUGAAGAGAAGAGAAGAGAGAAAGAAAGAAAAAAAGAGAUGAGAGAAAAUGAUUUGGAUUUUUUUUUUUUUUUACAAAAAGGGCAAGUCCAAUGGAUUUGAAAUUUUCUACAUUCACUUACACUUAGUGUAAAAUAUAGACAAAAUUACACGAGAUUUUUUACCUUAUUUGUUUGUAACGUUUCGGUCCUUUAUAAUUUUUUUCAUUUAAGUCUUCUAUCUUAUUUAUUUGUAACACUUUAGUCGUUUAUCUUUUUUUUCUCAUUUAAGUCUUUUAUUUUUUAUAGCCACACAUAUAAACCCUUUUUAUCAAUUUUUUAUUAAAAAAAAUGCUGAAAUGUUAUUUUUUUAAAAAAAUAAUUAAAGAAACACAUUCAUCAAUAUCUUCAUCUUCUUCAUUAAACAAAAGGGAAAACCCAUGAUUAAAAAAAAAAGAAGGACAAAUCCAAAAAUUCAACUUCNNNNNNNNNNNNNNNNNNNNNNNNNNNNNACUCAUGUUCAUAUAUAUAUAUAUAUAUAUAUAUAUAUAUAUAUAUAUUACAUUAAAUCAAAAGUGCCAAAUUCAAAAAUUCAUCUUCAACAACAAACCUAAAAUUCAUCUUCAUUCUCAAAUUUAAAAAUAUAUUAAUUAAUGUACAGUAAAUCACAUAAAGAGUUUUAUGUUUUCAUAAAUUGUGUUAUGUUUUCAUUUUUCCUCAUGGUAUAUUGUUAUGUCUAUCAUUGUUUAAAAAAUCAUGUUUAAGGAAUAAUGAGUUUUAUGUUGAAAUUGGUUACAAACCUUGUAGAAAAGGAACAGUCAAUUUCCGAAGCUAUUGCAACAAACAUUGUAAAGAUUAUCGAGGAAGGGUUUAUGAUUGGUUCGUGCUACCUGAUGACAUUCGAUCAUUUUAGUAUUUUUAAUUAUUAUUUUAUAGUAAUUUAGUUAGUUUUUAGGAGUAUUGCAUGGUCAAAUAGAAGAAUUUAUGAAGAAAUUGACAUAUAAAAGAGUUUGAAGAAUAAAAGUCAAAGGAAGUUUACGAAAAUGUUGAUUAUAUUAAAGUUCGCCUUGCAAAAAUACUUUUGGUAAGCUUUGAAUAUGCUCUGUUUAAAAUAUGGACCGUUUAUUUUGAUCAAGUUCAAUAUGAUUGGAUGAAUCAAUCAUUAAUGUGACUUCACUAAGGAAAAUAUUAAAUAGUAUUUUCGGAGCAAUCAUUAACGAAAAGACUUGUUAAUGCAAGAAUGUACGAUGUGUAUAAAGUUGUGCCUUGUGUGAUGUGGUUGAAAUAUGUUUGUAAUUGUGCACUAUUUGAAUAUAUAAAGUUAGUUUAGGAGGGUGUAUUGAAUUGAGAUUUCAAUGGAUUUUAAAAGACUUUAAUAUUCAGUUUUUUUUUUUAAUAAAUAGAAAAUUAUUUACAUAACUAUACUGAUUAGGGAAUAUUCUAGAAGUGUUAGGAAGUUAGCAUUCCCUAGAUUUGCGCUGAGUUAGUUACACUUUUGUAUUGUAUUCAAAUUUGUCGUUAUCUUUUUCUUCCUUAACCUCCAAAUUGUCUAGUGUAGAGAUUCUAAAGAACGUACAAGAUGUCUCAUUUCUAAUCUCUCAUUUGCACACAACGUUCUCCCCACCAAGUGUGAUAUAUCAAUUAGGCUCUAAUUACUAAUUUUUAAAAUGUUAGAAAAUACUUUAAUAUUCAGUUUUUUUUUUAAUAAAUAGAAAAUUAUUUCUUAAUUCUACAACUACUUAGACAUAUACAUCGUAUAUAUUGAACAUUAAUUUCACGAAAUAAUAUUACUCACCGUAGGCUAAUUAUCAACAACCAAUUUAUGGAAAUGUCCCGGGACAUAAGCUGUAAGACCUAGAUUCCACAACAUAAAUAUCAUUGAAAAGAUCAUUUCCAUCCGACUUUCAGCAUGUAAGUCCCCAAAACUCACGGUUGAAAAUGUUGUCAUUGCGAAGUACAUUGAGGUGACAUAUCUUCUCCAGAACUUCAGCUUAUAUAAAUUUGCGAUUGAUUUGGUCAAAGACAUUUGCGGAUCAGGAUUGAGUGAAGCAAUAAGAUGAAAAAGACAACCCUCCACAUGUAAGUUUGAAGUUAACGAAAAUGUUGAUUAUAUUAUAAAGUUUGCCUUGCAAAAAUUCUUUUGGUAAGCUUUGAAUAUGCUCUGUUUAAAAUAUGGUCAGUUUAUUUCGAUCAAGUUCAAUAUGAUUGGAUGAAUCAAUCAUUAUUGUGAUUUCAUUAAGGAAAAUGUUAAAUAGUAUUUUUGGAGCAAUCAUUAACGAAAAGACUUGUAUGGUGACAACCAAUUANNNNNNNNNNNNNNNNNNNNNNNNNNNNNNNNNNNNNNNNNNNNNNNNNNNNNNNNNNNNNNNNNNNNNNNNNNNNNNNNNNNNNNNNNNNNNNNNNNNNNNNNNNNNNNNNNNNNNNNNNNNNNNNNNNNNNNNNNNNNNNNNNNNNNNNNNNNNNNNNNNNNNNNNNNNNNNNNNNNNNNNNNNNNNNNNNNNNNNNNNNNNNNNNNNNNNNNNNNNNNNAAAAUGAAAAAUUCAAACUCAAAGGAAAAAUUGAGGUUAAAUUUUUAACUAAAAUCGAAACCUAAAUUUGUUUCAAAAUGAAUGUAAUUUACACUUUUUACCAAGGUAAUUAAAACUGAAUCGGCCGGUCUGACCGGUUGAAUCGUGAACAGGACAUGUAUUCGGUCCGGGUGAAGCUGUAAACCACACUGUCAAAGAACUGGCAAAUGGACCAAAAAACUGGUGUAAAAUCAAGAAAAACUAGGAAAAUCGGUGAUUUGACCGAUUUAUUGGGUUAGACCGCACUUUACACAUUUUUUGAGAAAAAAAAUUGAAAGUCAUAUUGCUUUGACCUUUUUGCACAAGACAAGUCACCUUAAACUCCAUUUUUUUCUUCGUCGAUGUUACAUAUUAUGAACUAUUUAUUUCUAUUGCAUGUCUAUGUGAACUAAUACUGCCUCUCCACGUAGAUCUAAGAUGUCAACCAUUGAUGUAGAAGAAGAGAGAUGUAGAUGUGUAAAAAAGAAAAAGAGAGCAUGAAUGAUUGAAGAGAAACAUGAAUGAAGUACACUAGAAGGAGAAGAUAAGUUUGAAAUUGAGUGGUUUCAUUUUAGUGUCGUUACAUUGAAAAAUGUAUUGAGUUUUAUUUAAUUUAAUAUUCUUUUUUGAUAAAUUUAUUUAAUUUAAUAUUCAACAAUGAGAAGAGUGUAGCUUUUGUUGGAAACGUAUAAUUAAAUACAUUGCUUCUUCAUUUUUUGUGUAAAGUAAUUUUCUCAGUGACGGUUCAACAUUAUUGUAUACAGUAUUCCAUCUGUGAUAAAUACUAGUAUUUUUGUAAAAAAAAAAAUGAUAAAUAGUAUUUUUAGUUUAAUAUUAUACAUAUUUUAUUUGGUAUAAUAAAUUUUAAAAUAUAUCACUACGAUUUAGUUACUAUCGGCCUGAUACCCUGGUCGAACCUUUGAACAUUGAACCUUUGAAAAUACCGGUAUAUUGUCCGGUCCGAUUUUAAUUACCUUGCUUUUUACCGUCAUUGAGUUUACACUAUUUUCAUAGUGUUACAUAAAUAGUAAAUACGGAUAGUUUUAGUAAAAUGAUUAUGUCUUUUGAUAAUAUCAUUGCAUUUCUCGAUCUUUGUCAGAUAAUAUAUAUUUUUUUUAAAAAAAAUCCUACAAAAUAAAAAAACGAAUUUUCUUUUUUUUUUUCCUCAAAAUUUUUUAAAAAAUUCCUACAACUUUUUUUUUUGUACAAACUUUACUCCCUAAAUAAAGAUUUACUCCCAAAUAAAGUUGAUUUCCAAAAUAAAAAUUUUAAAAAUUUAUUUUCAAUUUUUUUUGAAUUGAAAAAAACAUAAUCUUUAUUUCUUUGAAAUAAAAAAACUAGGGUUCGAUUUUGAAAUAAAAAAACAUAAUCUUUAAUCUUUUUGAAAUAAAAAAAGGCUUAAUUAGUAAAAUGGUCCCUUAAACACAUUUUUGGUUUCACAUUGGUCCCUUAAAGAAAAAAAAGGUCUGAAUAGGUCCAUUAAAUAAAAAAAGGUUCGAAUAGGUCUUAAAGAUAUAUUCGUUAAUCAGUUUGGUCUUAUUCGGAUUUUUUUUGAUGAGAGAUAUCUUUAAGGACAUAUUCAGAUAUUUUUUUCUUUAAGAGACAAAUAUGAAAUCAAAAUUAUUUUUAAGGAACCAUUUUACUAAUUAAAAAAAAAAAAAAAACCAUCUGUGUAUUGAAUAGCAAGUGAAAACUAGGGUUUAACAACCAGAGGAAAAAGAGUUUGUGCAAAAUCGAACCAUGGCAGAACCAGAAAACAACCUGCAAAUUUCUUCAUCAAUGGAUGAAACCAAUAACAAGCAUAAACACAAGAAGAAGAAGCACGACAAAAAGAGACCCCGUGAUAUUGUUGAGGAAGAAGAAGAAGAAGAGAAUGUGAAAAAUACUCAUAGCAAUGGAGAAAUCUCGAAAAAGAAGAAGAAGAAUAAGGAGGGGGAGAAUGAAGUGGAAGUAGAAACUGAAUUGGAAGAGAAAAAAGUGAAGAACAAUAGUGGUUCUGGAAUUAUGAGCAAUGAAUCAUUUGCUUCUCUUGAAUUGUCUAAAUCAACUUCUAAAGCUAUUAUGGAUAUGGGAUUCCAAAACAUGACUCAGGUAAAUCAACGAUUUUCUCAUAAUUUUAGCAUAAGAUAAAUUUUUAAUAUUGAUUAUGUAUUAAGCAAUUUUUUUCUUAAUUGUCCGUGUUUGAAGAGGUAAAAUAUAUUAAUUAAAUAAGUGUUUAUGUACUAUAAGCUAUUUCUGUAAUGGUAGAACGAUAACUUAGAGUGAAACUGUUUAUAUACUGUUAUAAGUUGUUUUCAUAAGCUACCAUGAAGAGCUUAUCGAAAUAAGUUGAGAAUAGUGUAUGGAUAUAUCAUAAGUUGUUUCUGUAGGUUUAUGCAAAAUAAGUCAAUCUAAGAACACGUUAGGAAUAGAAUUGACUUAUUGACCACUUUGUUGAUGUAGAUUCAAGCAAGAGCAAUUCCACCACUUUUGAAUGGAAAAAAUGUUCUUGGUGCUGCAAGGACUGGUUCUGGAAAAACUCUUGCCUUUUUAAUUCCUGCUGUUGAGCUUUUGCACAAGCUUAAUUUUAAUCCUCGAGAUGGAGCUGGUGUUGUUGUCAUAUGCCCCACUAGAGAGCUUGCUAUUCAGGUAUUAAAUUUUGCCGAUUAACCGAUUUUCUUAAUAUUUUGGCUUUUGUUGUACCUUGGUCCUGGUGGCGCCUUUGUUUAUAAACUGUGAUGUUGGGAUUAUGUUACAUUUAGAUUAGUUUCUAGUUUAUGAUUUACGAAAGCUACUCACUUAAAAUAAGUUUAUGGUCUUAACGAACUUAUGGGGGUGCUUGUGGAGAAGUUAAAUGGCAGAGUCUCAAUUUGGACUAGUUUAUACUAUAUAGCUUAUGGGAGCUUCUCAAUUAAAAUAACUUUACACUUCUUCACUUAUGAAAAUUUCUUAUGGUUUAUAAGUAGUUAUGGAUCAAUUUAAUAAAAGAGCUUUUGAAAAAUCAUUGAGAUACAGAAGAUAAUUGGAACGUAUACGAGAAAUCAUUAAUUAAAAGUCUCAUGGUUAUUACAAGAUUCCUUUAAUAUUUUUUUUCGCUAGUUUUGUGGAAAAGUUUAACCAAGCAGACUUGUAGGUUUUGAAAAAAUGAGAUGCUGAAGAUAAUNNNNNNNNNNNNNNNNNNNNNNNNNNNNNNNNNNNNNNNUACAAGUUAUAUGAGAAACCGUUCUUUGAAAAGCUCAUAGUUAUUAUUGCAAGAUUCUUUUAAGAUUUUUUUUUCUUUCCGUAAUUGUUUUUUUUGCAGUUUAUCCGAACUGUUCUUUGAGAAACUGUUCCUCAAUUUUUGUUAUUCUUUAUAUUCUUUUUGACAUACAUGGAUUUUAUUAUCUAGUCUUCCUUAUUUGCUGAUUUUCUAUUUCUUUAAGACGCAUGAUGUUGCCAAGGAGCUUCUAAAGUAUCAUUCACAAACUCUUGGAUUGAU